CUCGUCAAGCUAAAGCUUUCUGAACUUUAAGCACGUUGCAAAAAAAAAAAAAAUCUUACAAGGAAAAAAACAACAUGGGCUCCACAAAACGUGAGUGCAAAGACAGAUGAGGCAUGGUAAAUAUAUCAAGAGAUAAGCAUUGCUGGAAAGACAACUGAGCAAAAAGAUUAAAAUGAUCACAACUUGAAGAGCUAGUUGGAAUGUUGCAUAAUAAAAAAGCAUUGCUGGAAAUCCAUUACACAGCAGAAAGGAAGCUACCAAGAAAGAUACAAGGAAGGGGGAUGAACUUCUCCAAGACUUUUGGAACAGCUGAUUUCAUAAUCAGCUGCAUAUACUUCAAACUUACACCAACAAAUAUGUAUCUUUCCUAUUGAUAGAAGCCUCGAUAGAAUUAAAAGAAUAAGAAGAAUUAGAAUUAUAAAAUCAAUAUAAGGAGAAUAGACAAGUACUGGAAGUAUGACAAGAAUUAUGAAAUCAGCUGUGCAUACCUCAAACUCACACCCAAAUAUCAAUACGUCUUAGCAAUACACAGUCAAAAGAACAUCGAGGAUUCAGAAUUAUGAAACCAGUGUAAAAAGGAGAACCUACAAGUAAAACAGGAUGCAUAGGUAAUAAAAACUCGCACAUUUGAAUGUCAGACUAUUACUUGGGCAACUUUUGACGAAGCAAAAUCAAGGGGACUGGGUUGUAGACAAUUAGAGUAGAUAAUUUCUUCAAUUACUAACAUAUCAGGUUUCAUAUGAAUAAAUUUUUCGGCUAUAUAUCAUCAAUACUAUCCAUAUAAUGCACUAAUAAUUAGGUGGUUCCUUUCCAUUUGAUAAAACUGGUCAAGCUGUUUUUAAAUUAUUUUCAGACAUUCUAAAUGGCUAUGAUAUUUCAUACAAAAUUUCAUAAGUUGUUUCAAAUUGUGGUCUACAACUGCAUUUGCAGUCACAAUUUUAUGCAGUUUGGACAAUCAUAAAGCAACCCCAUCACACUCAAAUUUAGACAACAUUGCAAGGAAGUAUAAGGUUCCAAUACCUCUUUGACGAUAUCGCUUAACGCAGAAACCCCAAGGCAACCUAAAGCUGUAUAUACCAUGUAUGACUUUUUCUCUUUCAGACGCCGACAUGUCUCUAUCACAAACCUGAAAAAAGCACAUAAUUCAUUAGAAGUUCAUGUAUUUACUCAUGUCAAAACGGAAAAAUCAGAGAGUCAUGAUUAAAUGUAAUGGAACAAGGAAAUUCAAAGCCCUGAAAAUAAGCUAAAAACAGCUUAUGAACAUGUAAUAAGUUGUUUUCAUAAGUUCUCUCAAACAGUAUAAGCUCAAAUAAGUCAAAUCAAACGCUUAAACCAAUAAAACACAAUCAGCAUAACACAUUCAGCACUAUUAGGUAUAAAGAUAGACAAUUGAGAAAGAAAAAAAAGGGUUUGAAAUUCGGAAGAGUGAACAAACCUGUCAAUGUUGAUGGGUGCAUCCGAUCCUCCUAAAGCCUUUCUCUUUCUCUUGUUUUUACGCUUCCGAUUUUUACUCAGAGCUUUUGGUUUUUGAUUAAUAUCAUUGCGAUUAUUUUCUGCUUCAUGAAUGAGAUUAUGAUCCUGUGUGGCGGCGACACCGUUUCGAUGAUGGUCUUCUUCUUCUUCAACCAGUUCACCUUCUUCAACGUCAACCAUCUCAACAUCAUCUUCUUCGUAGAUAAUAGCAUCUAGAAUGUUCUCACCGCCCUCCAUCCCCAAAUUCCAGUGCUUGCUUUCAAAACGGUUAGUAACUCUCAAGUGUCGAUUAUAUAUGCGUCUCUGUAUUGGUUAAACUUCUUCUUUUUUUUUUUUUUUGUCAAGUAGCCUAGUGGCUAGAGCUCACACAAUUUAAUUGUGGAGAAGUGGAGUAUCCGGGGUUCGAACUCCGGCUCCUGCAUAUAAUAUGCAAUAUCCCUACCAACUGAGCUAAGCUCACGGGGAUGGUUAAACUUCUUUUAUAUAAUUAAAAAAUAACCAUUUAAAUUUAAAAAUAUUUUAAUAGGAUUUGAUUUAUAUUUUAAAGUUAAAAAUGUGAAUAUUUUAACUUAUAUACAAUAUAAAAUAUUUAAUUUCAAUCAUAAUUAAAUUUAAUCUAAUAUAUUAAAAUUAUUAUGUUUCAUAGAAGAAUAACAUAUUGAUAAAAGUAGACCUCAACUAGAAAGGUGCUACCGUGAGAGACCACAUUUUUUUUUUUUUAGACGGCUUAAAUGACUUGCUUUUAUAGGUGAUAUACAUUGUUUACUUAAUUUAGGAGGUAAAAAAGUAUAUAAAUAAUUCUUAUAAUAAUUUCAUGCCCAUUAUAUUACUUUGCAAUUAUCCAUAAAACAUAUCAUUUUAUUUUUUAAAUGAUUUAUAAUAUUUUUUUUGUUGGAAUAAUUACCGUCCAGUUUGUUAGAGUUAAUAUAAUUUGAGUUAAUAAUUUUUUUAAGAGAUUUUUUUUAAGCAAUAAAAGAUGAUGCAUAGAGCAUCAUAUAUAUAUAUAUAUAUAUAUAUAUAUAUAUAUAUAUAUAUCAAUAAAAAGAAAAAGGAGUACAAAAAAUAAAAGGGGACUAGGCCAAUACUUUUUCAUCAAUUUACAAACCUAAAAUUAGGAAUACCCAACCUAUAUCUAAUGUACUCCUCCCCCAUCUCAUUGGGUAUGGAGUGGUGCCAGUAAAAAAAAAUUGGAGGUAAUGUUAGGCCUGGAUCUGCCAUGCCAUCCGCACAUGCAUUACCCUUCCUUUACACAUGUGUAAAAGUGAAGUGAAUAUUACUGACAAUUUCGUUAAAAAAUACAAAUAUUAUACAUUUUUUUGAAUAAGUACAAAUAUUACACAUGAAUUGACUUAAAAAUAGAGACCAAAUUUGAUGAUUAAAAAUGUUAUAGGGACUAAAAAUUGAAGAUUAAUUUUAGAGGAAAUAAAAAUUUGAUGACUAAGUUGAAGAUUAAUUACUAAUAUUAUUUUUAUUUAUAUAAUUCUAAAAUCAAUUAGAUUUUUCAAAAUCAAUAUAUAUAUUUUAAAAAAAGAAUUUUAGCGGGUCAAGUAACCUACAAAUCUCAACCAUUCAAAAUCUUUUUGCAAAAUAAAAAUAAAAAAAUCAAGUCUCAUACGGUAGAAGACCUAAAGAGGUCUCCCACCAUAGUCUUUGUCGUAGUCCCAAAGGUAAAGAAGGGAAAAAAAAACAUAACUCCAUUUUUUGUUUCAAAAACCUUAACACUAUUGUUGUAUAAGAAUUGUAUUAUAAGAGUUUUAUAUACAAACAAAAAUUAUUAGUUUAAACAACAACAACAAAUCAUCGUAAGUUUAGUUCAGUUUAUAGGAACAUUACAUAAUAUAUGUAUUAGUUGUGGUUUAAACCUCGGAACACCUCGCUUAUUCUCCUUAAAAGGAGAAUUUUUAGUCACACGGGCCACGACUACAUGACAAAAGAAAAAAACAACAAUAAUAAACAAACCAACAAUAAUGUAGGUUUGUUUAUCAUUGUAUCCAACAAUAAUAAACAAACCUACAUGUCAAAGUCUCUUAUGUAACUUUUGAUCAUCUAUUUUUAAAAAAUUGAAGUUUUAGUCCUUCUAUUUUAAAAUUAAAUUUUUGGUCCCUUUUUUUGAAUUUUUUUUCCCUCGUCUCAUUUUGAGGUCAUUUUUUAUUAUGUAACUUAUUAAUUUAUGAUGUAGCAAUAUUUAUUAGGCAAUUCAACAAAAAAAUAACUAAUAUUAUCACAUUGUAAACAAUAAGAUAUAACAUAAAAAAAUCUUUAAAAAAAAGAUAUAUCAUCAAAAAAUGAGCUGAGAGACCAAAAAUCCGAAGAAAAAAAACUAAAUAGAAGGACAAAUAAUUUGAUUUUUUAAAUAAGAGGAACAAUAGUCUAUUUAGUGUGUGUUUGGUUCAACUUUGCUUAAAAUUGAAUCUGAAUUCUGAUAGAAUUGAUUAUUGAUUUUGAUAGAAUUAAUUUAUGUUUGGAUACAAUAAUGCAGAAUUGAUUAAAUAAAUUGAAUGUUGUUUGGAUAGUUUUUAACAAAAUUGCUUUUGAAUGUAUAAUUACUAAAAUAAACAUAGCUAAAUUCAAGUAAAUGUGCAUAGUUGAAUGUAUAUGUAGAUCAAUACUAAAUGUAGAUAUAUUAUUUAAUUUAAAUAAAUAAAUUUUCUAUAUAUUAAUUUAAAACAUAAUAAAUACAAUCAUUAAACUAAUUUUUUUUAUAAAAUAUUUGUUCAUAUAUUUUAUAUUUUUUGAUAAAAUAUAUUUAAGAUAAAUAAUACUAGAGUUAGUUGUCAAAAAUGAUAAAAUAUAGCGUAAAAGAAAAUCUAAAAUUUGGUAAAUCAUGACCAUAAAUAUUUUUCGGGGGCUAAUUAGUUUCGUUAAGUUUUCUAAUUAAAUUUGGUUCAUCAAAUUAAUUACAAAGCAAAAAGGAUAAUUGAUAAAGGGCAAUAAAGAAAAAUAAUAGGUCGUAAUAAUCAAAAUAAAAAAAAAUUAAUGUAUAAUUGAUUCUAGGAAAGCCAAAAGUUAGAAAUUGUAGUUUUAAGGAGAAUUGUUUUUGGAGGAUAGAAUCAACUCUAAAAUGUCUAACCAAACAAUAUUGAAAACUCAAUUUCCACUUUUGAUGUUUGUUGAAGUGCUUCUUAUCGCUGAAAAGUCAAAAGAAACAAACCCUAAAGUUAAAUAGAUUUGAGUGAUGUACUAUGUGUGUACACGAUGACUUUCUGUGCAAGUGAAGGCCCACACAUUAAUAUUCGAAAUAAAAAUCAUUUAAGUCAAAAUAGGUGGUUACACAUAUGUUUGUAUUUAGAGAAGAAAAUAUCUUUAUUUUUUUAUUUUUAAACAAAGGUAAUGCAAGAAGCACAGCGAGAUAUCUUUCAACAAAAAAGAGGAAUGAAAUGAGAAGGGGAACUAUGUCAAGACUCAAGACCUUCUCAAAAAUACAUAAACUUGUAGUUAGAUAAGCUUAAACUGUUUCUAAUAUAUUCUUGCUUAGUACUAUAAGGAGGAGAGGGGAACUAGACAAGGGAAGAGAGAGCUAGAUCAAUGUUAACUAAACUAUCUGCACAUGUGUUUCCUUCCAUAUAUAUAUAUAUAUAUAUAUAUAUAUAUAUAUAUAUAUAUAUGAGUCACAAAAAAAUUCAUAUUCUUGGUUCUAUAUACAUAGUUAAUCCGCAUGUUGCUCAAGUACCAAAGAACCAUAUUCUGAGACUUGAAGGCAAACAACACUAAUCAAGAGUCUUUCAAGCCAUAAAUUGUUCCAAUCUUUAGAAACAGCUAUCUCUAUAGAAGAAAAUAUCUUUCUUUUUUUCUUACUUUUAUUUUACGAAAGAGAAAAAACAUCUGUCUGCUAGACAAGAAUUGGAUAUUUAUGUGAAUGUUAAUAUAUAUAUAUAUAUAUAUAUAUAUAUAUAUAUAUAUAUAUAUAUAUAUAUAUAUAUGUGUGUGUGUGUGUGUGUGUUUUGUGUUAUUAUUUUAAAAUUUCAUAUCAUUAAUCAUGUAAAUAAUUUGAUUUCUCAUAAUAAAUCAAUCAAAUUUUUUAGUAUAAGUUAGUCAAACUUCUGGAUAUUCAAUGUAAUUAGUUUGGACUAUUUUGCAUUUUAUAUUGAGUCAUGAACAAUUGUGACAACGAAAUGUAAAGUCAGAGACUAAAAUUAUUAUUUCCCGUUUAUAUAUAGCACAUGACAACCUCAACCCUUUAUCAUUUCCUUAUAAUGUUUGUAGCUUUUACAAAAUCUAGGUGAUUUACUGGUCACUAGGAAUUUUACAAAGAACGAAGGAGAAAUCAGACACCAAUGAUUAACGUGAUUCCGUUAUUUUUAUUGGACCUCACCCAAACUUCAAACAUUGUUUUGUUGUUGCUUUUGAGUUAGACUCUCCAACACUAUUAUGUCAAUGAAUAUGAAACUAUUGGUUUUUGCUUGCAAGUGAAUCAUUGGUUUGCAUAUCACUGAUGUGAGUUUUAAGCUAGACUGCAACAGGGUUGUUGAGAAUCUUUUUCCACCCAAAAUAUGAUGUUUUUAACUUUUGGGUUAAUUAAAUUUUUAUCCCUAUAAAUAUCCGCAGUUUUGUUUUUAGUCCCUAUAAAAAUAAAUCACACUUUUUAGUCCCUACAAAAUUUUUCUUUAGUGUUUUUAGUCCCUGUUAAAUUAAAUCUUGUUUAAUUAUGCUUAAAAUUUUAAAUUUUUUAAUGUUUUUUUACAUACUUGUUUAAAACAUUAUAAAAGGUUCCGCCACCAUAAAGUAGCUCAAAAUUUUAUUUUUAGGUCCAAAUUUUCGUUAGUUUUAUCUUAAAUUUUUGACGUUUUAAAAAAAUUAUAUUUAAUUCAUUACAUGUUAAAAAAUUCUAAAGUAUAGGGACCAAUGUAAAAAUCUGAUGAAAGUGCAAGGAGUAAAGACAUAUUUAAGCCAUUCUUUUUUUAAAUACAUUUAAUAAUUAAUUUAUCUAGAUUUCAUUGUAAACGGGAUGCAUUAAUUAUUUAAUAUAUCUAAAAAAAAGAAUAUUUUCUUAUAUACAGAACCGAAAUGAGUACUACUAUAAAUAAACCAGUAUUAGUAUAUGUUUUCUUUUACUGUGGAUAAAAUUAUUAUUUGAUUUUGAAUUCUUUUACACCAUUUGAAAAUACUUAUAUUAUAUUAAUAAAACUCAAUUGAACAAAUAAAACAUUAAAAAAGCUCUUAUAAAUUAAUAUUAUUUUAAAAUUAUUUUGUGAACCAGUGAAUAUUCAUUUAUGAUUUUAGAUAAGUUGAAAUAAUUAUCUAAAAUGAGAAUGAGAUAUUAGUUUUAUAUAUACAAUUAAAAGGAUGAUUUGGUCAUUACAUAUUCAAAAGAGGAAAUGAUUUAUAAAUUUUAGGGUUAAUAAUGUUUUACCCCCUUGUAAUAUAGAGCACUUUUAGUUUUGCCCCCUGUAUUUUUAUUUUUUUUAGAUUUUGUCCUUGUAAAAUAAAGAUUCUUCAGGAUUGCCCCAUAAUCCCUAUGACUCAGCAAAAUCUCUUACGUGACGCUAAUGUGGAUAUUUAUUUUUAUUUUUUCAUUUGCCACAUGUAUAAUUCAUUUAACACAUCAUAUUUAAUUAAAAAAAACACAAAAAAUUUAAAAUCCGAAAAUUAAUUUUCAAAAAUGGAAAAAAUUAAUUUUCUAAAUAAAAAGUUCAGAUUUCAUUUCAAUAUAAAAAUUAUGGAAUAAAAGGUCUAAAAAAAAUUUCAAAAUAAUUUUUUUUCCAGAAUUUUUCUUUUUUAAAAAAAUUAUUUCAAAAAAAUACAUUUUAUUUUCCUGAAUAUUUAAUUUUUUAAAAAAAUAAUAUAUAUUUUUAUUUUAAAACUUAUUUAUUUUCCAGAAUUGUAUUUUUUUAGAAAAAAUAAAAGUUUUAUUUCAAAAAAUUAUUUAUUUUACCAGAAUAUUUAAUUUUUGUUACAAAAAUAACUUUUUUUCAUAAAAAUAGAAACUUUUCUUAUUUUCCUGAAUUUUUAUUUUAUUAGAAAAAGUAAACCAAACUUUCUUAUUUAAGAAAAAAAAUUGAACUUAUUUUAAUUUUGAAUUUAUUUUUAUAGUUUUUGAAAUAUAUUUUCCAAUUUUUUUUUAUUUUGAAAAUUAAGUUCCAGAGUUUUUUAUUAUAUUAGAAAAUAUAAUCUGAUUUUUUAAAAUUUAAUUUUCAGAUUUUUAAUUAUAAAUGACGUGUAAUAUGUUUUUUAUGCGUGACAUCCAAAAAAAAAUUAAAAAUAAAAAAAUAUCCACACGAGCGCCAUGUAAGAGAUUCUAAUGAGUCAUAGGGGGGCACACAAAGGUGGUGGUCAAGCCCUUUAGCUUGUUUGGGUAUUGGCUAAUUUCUAUUUUGCUCUCUUGUGGCUUUGGACAUUCUUGAUGUACUCUAGUAGGUCUCUAGGCACACCUUGUGCUUGGGAGCUGCUGUUUGGUUUGGUUAUUUAUAAUUUCAUUUUGGCUUGUUCAAAAAAAAAAAGUCAUAGGGAUCAGAGAGCAAUCCUGAAGAAUCUUUAUUUUAUGAGGAUGGAAUCUUAAAAAAAUAUUUUAAAGAGGGCAAAACCAAAAGUGUUCUAUAUUAUAGGGGGUAAAACAAUAUUAACCCUAAAUUUUAUGUAGAAAAAGUUCUUUUUUUAAGUUUGUGUUGAAUAUACAAUUUUCAAGAAAAAGUUUCUUCUUUUGACUUUUAAACAAAUGCCUUGAGGUCAUUUGUUAGUACUAUUUCCCUAACUUAAAAAACUAAAAAUGUUUUUUUAAUAAAAAUAGCUGAAAUGUUUAUAUCUUAAAAUUGAUAAAGUAAGAACUUUUUAAAUGUGUAAUAACGCUAUUUUUUAAGUUAAUUUUUAAAGGGUCUUGCUAACCAGGGCCCUAAAGGCAAUGGUUAAGGAUUUCAUUAAUACUUUCUCCGUCCCGCAAUAGACGAUCUAUUUGAAAAUUUGCAAUUUUAAUCUAGCUUACGUUGACCAUAUUUUUCUACUAAUAUACACAGAUAAAUAAUAUCAUAUAAGAUGUCGUUAGAUUCGUCUCGAUGAGUAUUUUCAAAAUAUCAAAUUUUCAUAAUUUUUUCUAACAUAUUAUUCAAGAUAUUUAAGCUCAAAAUUAUGCAUUGGAAUGCGUAAUGGAGUCAACUUUGUAUUGGAAAUAUAAGUCUUUACUAUUUUUCUUAUCAAUGAUUACAUAACUUUUCUUUGCAAACUUACUUAUUUUAAUACUUUAACCAAUGUUCCAAAGGCAAUGGUUAGCAUUUCUAUUUUUAAAAUAUCUAUUUUACAUGAUUUAAUUGAAUGUAUGUGUUAGAAAAAUUAUAUCAUCGGUGUAUAAAAAUUAAACGUUAUACUAUCUUAACUGGUGCUAGUCACACCAAAAAAAAAAAACAAGUUACACCCCAGAAUGACUAAUAUACCCCUAAAUUGAACACAAGUAAAUUUAAUUUACAUUAACCUAGAUUGAACGCAAGUAAACUGAAUUUACACUAACCUCUUAUAUACAUACUAUAUACAUACGUAAACUUAAUAACCUAAAUUGAACGUAAGUAAAUUUAAUUUACAUUAACCUAGAUUGAACGUAAGUAAACUGAAUUUACAUUAACCUCUUAUAUACAUACUAUAUACACAUGUAAACUAAAUUUACAUUAACCUAAAUUGAACAUAAGUAAACUUAAUUUACAUUAACCUAGAUUGAACGUAAGUAAACUGAAUUUACACCAACCUAAAUUGAACAUACGUAAAUUUGAAUGUAAAUUUGAAUUUACAUUAACCUACAUACGUAAACUACACUAACCAUUUUUAUAUACAUACACGUAAACUUAAUUUACACUAACCUCUCACUUAAAAUCAAAUUGACAAGUAUAUCUCAUACCAAAACAAACAAUAAACAUAGAAACUCAUCGAAAAUGAAAUUCAUGAAAUUCACUAACCUUUAUGAAUAUAGUACAUAUCAAUAACAAAGAUGUUGAUUCAAAUCUUGGUUGCACAUCUAUGGUGAUUUAUGGAUGAAAGAGAGUAAGGGUUCAGAAUGAUCAUAAAAGAUGAGUUUUUAGAAAUUUACAUGAAGAGGACAAUUUUGAUAUUAUUGUAAAAUUUUAAAUAAAUUUGGGUGUAACUUAUUUUUUUUGGGGUGUGACUAACACCGUCUACUAUCUUACUUCAUUUUUUUUUUUAGGGAUAUCUUAAUUAAAAUAUAAAUUGCUUGAAAUAUAUAUUUUUUUGAUUCAAUGAAGGGUUCAAGGCUCAAAAGGGAAAGAUGACUAAUUCAAAGGUUUCUUGAAAGGAUAAAAUAAUAAGAGAGUUGCACUUCUAGUCUUUUCACAUUUAAAAUUGUUGAUUCUCUUGUUAGAAGACAAUCAUGAGUUAAUCUAUGUAUGUGUAUUUUUAACAUGAGUUAACUCACGUACCACAAGAAUGAAUAAAAAUAAAAGGGAGAAGAAAAAUUCUUAAAUAAUAAUAAUAAGGGUAAUCAUAUUUGCACAACUUUUUUACUACAAUUUUUGGGACAAUAUUACUGUGCUCUCUUUUCAUUGGUCAAAAACAAUAAAGAAAGAAAAUAAGAAGAUAACGUGAAUAUGAGAGAGAAACUUAUACAAAAAUUAUACAAAUAUCCUACAGAAGAAAAAAAAUAUCCUACAGAAAGCGUGAUUAAAGAUAGGUAACAUAGCAUUGUUACCAAAGAAAAGACAGGGUAGCCUUCGGGUCAGUUUACAUGAAAAGGAUAAGGGCCGGCGGUCCUACAGAGAAACUUCGCCUACUCAAGAUGGAAUCAAAUAUUCAACACUCUCUAUCAAAAAAAAAAAACAUAUUCAACUCUCUUUUGUCUUAAUUAAUCUUGUCAUGAGAUUCUUGUAGAAAAAAACAAAACAAUGCCAUAAGAUUCUUUUUUUUCUUUUCUUCUUUUUUAAUAUUUUUUUUAAAAAUUCAAUAAUUGUAUUGUAUUUCAUCCGUGUAAGUAAACUUCAUCUGAACAUUGUAUUAUUAUGUUUCUUUUUAAGGGUUUCCAUUAUUCAUUAUUGUAUUAUUUAGUGUGUGUAUAUAUAGAGACGGUUAAUUUACACCCACUUCAUGACACUAAGGAAUAGUAAGUUGGUAGAUUAAGCUUCCUCAAAAAAAUUAAAGUUAGUAGAUUAAGGUCUCCUUUGGAUUAAGUUUAUUUAGAGUUUAUGAAAGAUAGUUUAUGCAAAUAAAUAAUCUUUUAUAUUAAUUAAUAAGUUUUUACUAACAAAUGAAUGAAUAUCGUUUUGUCUUUGUCAAAAAAUAUCUCUAGAAAAAGAAAUAACAUAUAGAUUAGUGGUUAAAAAUUCAUCUAUUAAAAUAGAUAAAUAGGAAAUCCAGGAUUCAAACACUGAUCUUUACAUAAAUAAUACGAUGUCUGUACCAACUCGGUUAUAGUCCAAGAGACAAUUUGUAAAAUAUUUGAUGGAGUAUGAAAACAAUUAUGUAUAAAUUUAUUAUUUAAUUAUAAAAGAAUAAAAAUAUGCGUCUCAAAUUUCAACCAUUUAUUAUUUUAUGGGCGUAGCAAAGAAACUGUUUAGUACAAAUACCGGUGUGUAUUUAAUUAAUUGGGCACCUAACAUUCUACCUAUUUCCACUCAAAAAACAUUCUACCUAUUUUUUGGUAAAUUAGACAAUUCACACAUUUUUUGCCCAUAAAGAAAACCUCUCCCAAAACUAACGUUGCUCAUUUUUAAGACUAGAUUCAAAUUCAAAACUACUAAAGUUUUAUAAAAAAUAAAUAAAAAACAAUAUAAAAUGAGAGAUUAGUAGAUUACAUUAUUGUUAAAUGCAUGCGUAAGGUAGUGAGAUAAUAGAAUGUCAUGAUCAUCCAACUUGAUACGCCACUGCAACUACCUCUCACCUUUAUUAUUUAAAUCUUCCCUAUCACUUCCUCUUCACUCAUUCUCCUUCCUUCAAUCAUGGACUUUUCUCAAUUUUCCACUAUCCUCUUUCUCACCGUCAUCCUAACCAUCUUUGCCGCCGUUUCCGGUAGCCGUGACCUCCCCGGAGAUUAUAUCCGAUUGCCAUCUCAAUCUCAAGCCUCCAGGUUCUUCCAUGAGCCUGAAAAUGAUGACAACGAUCAAGGGACUAGGUGGGCUAUUUUACUUGCUGGUUCUAAUGGUUAUUGGAAUUAUAGGCAUCAGGUACAUAUGAUUCUUUAUGUCUAUAUCUAUCUAUACAUAAACUUUUUUUUUUAAAGGAUCUAUACGUACAUAAAUAUUAGUUACUAUGUGACGUGAUGUAAUUUUUUUUUUUAAAGAACUUUAAAAACCAACAUAAAUAGGUAAAAUCAUGAAGUGAUUUGAUUGGAUGAAAUAUAUAUAUAUAUAUAAUGAUCCUUUGUAUUUGAUGAUGUUACUUAUAAUCCUUGAGUUUUUUUUUUUACUAAAUAUAAUCUAAGUUUUUAUUUUUGACGGGGGUAUAUAUCAUUGAGUUUGUUUCAAGUAUUACUAUUUUUAGUAAUAAUACAAGUCUGGUUAUCACUUGAUUUUAAUUUGGUCUUUCUAAGAAUUGGUUAUUUUCAACUUCGUUACUACUUCCUACUUACACCUCACUCUUAUCUCAUGACACUCCAAUACAGAUUAAUGAAAAUGUUCGAUUUGAACAAUCAUGUAAAUUUUAUCCAAAAAAAGUCAUGUAUAUCAGAUCUCACACAUACACACGUAUAUGUUUCACAUUCAUUGGCUUAUUUGAUCCAAAGAUUGUAUCAACAUGUUAUUUUUGUCUCUCAAUCAAUUUUGAUGGUUAGUCCAGAACUUUUAAAUACCACCGUAAGUGGAUGAUGAGAAUGGACCCUUCAGAUUAGGAUUAGUCAAUGUUUGGAUCAAAUAUAAAGUUUUUAUAAAAAAAAAUAUUUUUGUAUUAUAAAAAAAUGAAAUUUUAAAUUUUUAAAAUGAUGAAUAAUUUAAAAAUUAUAGUAAUUUAAAUAAUACAUCAACUAAUAUUACUUGUUGUCUAUUAAAAAAAGAAACUAAUAUUUCUUAUAAUUUAAAUUUAAAGUCAACUAAACAAGCAACUAAUAUUACUUGUAAAAAAAAUAGCAACUAAUAUUACUUAUAAUUUAAAGUCAACUGGUUUAUUAAUUUACUUUAUGUUUGUAAGUGUUUAUCUACUGCUUUUACCAAAGAGUUGCUGUAUAGCAGUGAGCAUCAAAAUGAAAAUAGUUGAAUGUAUGGGGACUAAAUUGAGAAACAAUUUAUGUACAGGGAUUAAAUGGAAACUGUUUAAUACAGAGAUAAUGUUGAAAUUCAGUAGGAUUGUUAAUACAAAUGAUCAAUAGCAUAUUUUAGUCUUAAUCUCUUUGUGUAUUUAUUUAGCUAUUUAGUUUUAAUGUUGAGUUUUUGUUGCUUGCUUCAUCAGGCUGAUGUUUGUCAUGCGUAUCAAUUGUUGAGGAAAGGUGGCUUGAAAGAAGAAAACAUUAUUGUUUUCAUGUAUGAUGAUAUUGCUUCCAAUGUAGAGAAUCCAAGGCCUGGAGUCAUAAUUAACAAACCUGAUGGUGGUGAUGUUUAUGAAGGAGUUCCAAAGGUAAAGUCAAUUUUAGUUUCUUGCAACUAGCACCGACACUUCACACUAAAGACGUCUCUGAUGUUCGACAAAUGUCGGUGUCCAUAUUGUUACAUUCAAUAGCUUCAAUUUCUCAAAUGAUUACUGGUGUGUAUGUGUUAGUGUUGUGUCCAGUGUUCGUGUCUAUUUUAUUGCUUCAUAGGUUUUUACUUUUUAGGCAUCUAAUGUCCUAUUGCUAUGUAAUGUUUGAUUAUCUAAUAAGAGCUUUUUCUUAUGACAGGAUUACACUGGUGCAGAGGUACAUGCUGACAAUUUCUAUGCUGCUUUACUUGGAAAUAAAUCAGCUCUUACAGGUGGGAGUGGGAAAGUUGUGGAUAGUGGUCCCAAUGAUCAUAUUUUUGUAUACUACACUGAUCAUGGAGGUCCAGGGGUUCUUGGUGAGUAAUUCCAAUUUCUUUUCAUAGAAACUUUUUGAUGAAAGACAUGGCUUGUGAGAGAGAUUGUUUGCUAUGUAGUAAUAACACCGACACUUCAGAUUGAAGACGUGUUUGGUGUCCCCACUUGUGUUGAACACAAACACGACACCGACACAUGUCAUAAUAUUCAAUUACUUCUAUAUUUGAAAAUACUACUGGUGUCGAUAUGUUAGUGUUAAUGUCUGUCUCUGUCUCUGUCUGUGUUUGUGCUUCAUAAGUUGUUUUUAUGUGUUUACGGAUGGUAAAAGCCUAAGCCUUGUUUGAGGUUAUUGCCGACAAAUAGUGUGUUUAUAAUUUAUUGUUACUCUUGUUUGAUUGAAUUGAUAUCAUUUGCAUGAUGAUGUCUGUGUCAAAUUGAACCUCUCCCAUAUGAUUUCCUCAAAGUGGAAUUUGUGUUCUGUGGUUGCUGUUUAUGCACAAUAAACCAAAAACAGUUAGAAUGAAAUAUUUCAAAAUUGUAUUUAUUGGAUCAUUACAUGACUACGUGUUUGUUUUGUUUAUACUUUCUACUAAUGAUAUAUGUUCCUUUUCUAUUUUUUAUUUGGUCUCUUCAGGUAUGCCCGUUGGUCCUUACUUGUAUGCAUCUGAUCUGAAUGAAGUCUUGAAGAAAAAACAUGCUUCUGGAUCAUAUAAGAGCCUAGUAAGUCACUAGUAAUAGUCGAUUUCACGUUCUUCUUUAUUUCAAUCACCGUUUGUUCUGUGUAGUUCUUCAAUGUUUGAAUUUAAUUAUUUCAGGCUAAAUAAUUUGUCUGUCAAUAGAAGCCAAAUUAAGCUAAUCAAAAUCCGCACACUAAAUUUUUUCGACUUAUUAAAUGGUGGUACAGGUAUUUUAUCUGGAGGCAUGUGAAUCUGGCAGUAUAUUUGAAGGACUUCUUCCAGAAGAUAUCAAUAUCUAUGCGACAACGGCUUCAAAUGCAGUAGAAAGCAGUUGGGGAACAUAUUGCCCUGGGGAGUACCCUCCCCCUCCUCCAGAGUACUCAACCUGCUUAGGUGACCUAUACAGUAUUGCUUGGAUGGAAGACAGGUAUGUGACUAAGAAGGAGAAAAUUAUAUCAUAGAACAGAUGAAUUUGAUGCAUUACUUAUUAUAACCAUACAAUUACCAUGGAGUAGUUCAAAACUUUGAUUAUUCUAAUUUUUUUUUUUUUUUUUUUGCACUUGUACAUUUGAUUUAUAAUUAGAUCACAAGAGUUUUUUUAAUAACUAAUUUAAUUUUUCUUUUACAUAUGAGCAGUGACAUACACAAUUUACGAACUGAAAGUUUGCACCAGCAAUAUAAAUUGGUAAGUUCUUGUUGCUCACUUAAUUUAAUUUGUUUUAUAUCAACUGAUGUGAAUUGAAGAAUGAAAUUCAAUACCUUGAAUGCUUAAUCACAUACGAGAAACUUCAGUUUGUUUUUUAUUAUAUUAGGAGUUUGGUAAUUGAUGCCUUAUUUGCUAAUGUGGUGCAGGUUAAAGAUAGGACUAUCAAUGGUUACUAUGGUUCUCAUGUGAUGGAGUAUGGUGAUGUAGGGCUUAGCAACAAUCAUCUCUUCCUAUAUUUGGGUACAAAUCCUGCCAAUGACAAUAUUAGUUUUGUGGAUGAAAGCUCCUUGAAAUUGAGAUCGCCUUCAACAGCAGUUAACCAAAGGGAUGCUGAUCUCAUUCAUUUCUGGGAUAAGGUAUUCUUUACAUGCAAUGUUUAUUCUUUGAGUUUGAUAUCUCGCGUGUCCGUGUAUUUCAAUUAAACGUAAUGUAUAAACAUCCAAAUGUAAUUGGGAUUCCCGAGAACAAGAUCCAGUACGAGAUAUUGAGUAUUUUUGGUGUUCAUUGGCAGUUCCGCAAAGCACCUGAGGGUUCUCUGCGGAAAAAUGAAGCACAGAAAGAAGUUUUGGAAGCAAUGUCCCACAGGAUGCAUGUAGACAACAGUGUGAAACUGAUUGGAAAGCUCUUAUUUGGCAUUGAAAAGGGUACUGAACUGCUCGACAAUGUUAGACCUGCUGGAUCACCACUUGUUGAUAACUGGGAUUGCCUCAAAACCAUGGUACUACUUCCCUUGUUCCAGCUUCAUCUAUCUUUUCUUGUGCUUACAUAGUAAAUAUAUAAAUUUUUAUAAAAAUAUAAUAGAAUUAGAUUCAUAGAUUUACGCAUAAGCCAUGGAGCAAUGAUAAAAUUGUGUCUUGUGAUAUAUUUGCAUGAUUUUACAUAAAAAAUAUGGUCUAUGAGAAAAAAACUCACCUCAAUCUGUUUUUUUUUGGUUCAGGUGAAAACUUUUGAGACACAUUGUGGAUCCCUAUCUCAGUAUGGUAUGAAACAUAUGAGGUCCUUUGCGAACAUCUGCAAUGCAGGAAUACAAACUGAGCAAAUGGCCGAGGCCUCAGCACAAGCUUGUGCCAGUAUUCCUGCCAACCCUUGGAGUUCUCUACAAAGGGGUUUCAGUGCAUAGUGCCUAUAAAAUGUGCACUUUGUAAAAAUCAUGUACAAUUGUUACAUAAUGUUUUAUGAUUGUAUAUAGUCAUAGAUAAUGUGCAUUGAUCAUGAUCUCUUGUCAUGAUUCUGUAAAUACAAUUGGAAAACUACUAUGACAUUGGGGAGUAGGGUUUUUGUCCAUUUCUUAGAAAUGCAUGAUUCUUUUACUACGGUUUUGGAUAGAACGAGGUACGCGUUUUUAGUACCGGUGACAUAUUAAGCCUUUGUUCGUCCAAAAUCAUAGUAAUUGAGCUCUCAAUUUCUUUUGAUAAAUGGAGAUGAUCUCUACUUGAUAUUGUGGGGGUCCUCUUGUCACAAACAAGUAUGUGAAUAUGUUUUUAAUCCCAUCAGUUAUAGGGUUGUAUUGUAGCAAGAUAAAUAAUUUCAAGGGAUUAUGGCAUUUAUAACAGGAGGGAUAAAAGACCACAGUUCUGCCUGUUGUGGAAUGUCCAAUAUGAUAGGGAACAAGGUCAUGAGUGAAUGCCAAUGUGUAUUGUGUGUAAUAGUGGAAGUGGGUAAUUGGCAGACAGGAGCUACCCUAGACACUUUGCAAUAGAAUUGACAAUCCUUUGUACAAUUAUUUUAGUAUAAUGUGUGUAAUUCAUACAACUACUAUUGUUUACUAUUAAUGAUGAUGUUGUAUAUAUAUUUGGUUAAAUUAUGCUGUUUCUUUAGUUAGUUACUUGAGAUUGAUUUUCAAUUAAACCAUUUUAGCUUAAUUUUUCUUAUAGUUUUUUUAAAAAAAUAAAAAAUCAGUGAUCACCAAGUGACUAACAACAUAAUUAUGCUGUUAGUCGUUGUUAAUUUUUUUGCAAAUUGUAAUAACUAAUUGAAUAAUGUUAUCUUUUGAUAGGUUAUCAUAUGUGAGAUCGGAUAGUUUAACUAAUUUGAGCAUAUGUUGAAGGAAAGGAGGACCUAAGUUCAAACUCUUUAAGGAGAAAAAAACAUUAACCUAAAAAUCAAUUACUAACAUAAAGUAGGUAAUGAUGAAGUGCUAAGUUUCAGAUAGGUUUUUUAAAAUAUAACAAAAAGUUAAUAAAUCAUUAAUAAAUAAGAUUUCUUUCCUUUCAAAAAAUAAAAUAAAAAAGAUUUCUUUGAAGAAAAAAAAUUUAAGAGCGAAUUUGAAGGUCCAUUUUAGUUUUUGAAAAAAAAUUCAUCAUACCGAUAUUGUGAGUUUAUCUCGAUUGAUAGAGAUAUUGACAAAAAUAAAAGCAACUUUUAGUCCUUGAGAAAAAUAAAUUGAGACAAGUUAGUCAUAUCUCUCUUUGCUUAUUUACUAAUCUGGUAUGAGAGAAGAUGAAAUAAAAUUAUGACACAAAAGAUAUAUAUAUAUAUAUAUAUAUAUAAAAUGAGAUAAAUAAAAAUAAAAAUAAAUUUCAUAUAAUCAACGACUUGUUUUCAAUUUAAUAAAAUUAUUAAUAGACAAAAAUAAGUUAAGAAAAUAUCAAUCACAAAUUAUAUUAUUAAUUAAAAGUUAAAUAUGUUUUUCAUUGUUAUAAAGUUAUAGAUGUUUUUGUAGUCCCUCUAAUUAUUUGAGUUAUGCUAACAAGUACCCUUGAGGCACUAGUUAAAAAGCCAUAAAUAGAAAUAAAUUAUAAAUUUGAUGUGAAAAAAAUCUAUUUUUAAGGUGUUUUCUUAAAAAAAUAAUAGUUAAGGUGUUGAAUACACCAUUUCUAAAAUAAACUGUCUCUUUUAAGUUUUAAGUUUCUUAACAAGUGCACUAAGUACAUCUGUUAGCAUUUCCCUAAUUAUUUUCUUUAAACAUUGGUCCUCCAAAAACCUUUUGUCAUCAAAUUUAGUUUUUAGUGUAUAUUUUGUGUUGAGUAAAUUAAGAAUUUACAAUUAGUUUGCCACAUGUAUAUUUAAAUUGUAAUGCAUUCGUGUGACACACGACUCAUCAAAUUUAUUGUUUUUAUAUAAUAAAAUAGAUUUUAUUCAUUUAAAUAUUUUAAUUAAUAUCAAAUAUAUGUUUUUUAAGAAAAUCAAUUAACUUAAAUUUGAAAGUUGUCUCGAUUUAUUUUUCUGAACACUAAAGGUUGCUUUUAUUUUUUCAUGGACUAAAUUGCGUCUUGCAAAUUUUUCUCAUGGACUAAAUUGCUUUUAUCGUUUGGAUAUGAGUCUCGCCCUCCACGACAUGAUCCCUUGACAAGAUCUAUGUGGCACAACUCCUCCUUAAUUUUUCCUCUUCUCUCAUCUCUCCUUGUAGUUAGUGGCAGUACAAACAAAGAACAUGGGUUUUGAGAGGUUAUGGUAAAACUUGUGAAACUGCUUGAAAAUGUAAAGUGUAGUUUGAUGCAAGAAUCUUUAAGGGGGAGGAAGGAAUUCUAAGUGUUAAAGAGGUAAAGAUGAAAUCUUGUGACACUAUAAUGUAGUUGGUGACAAGAGCAAGGUGAUUGAUGGUCAGAGUGACAUCAUCAUCAAUUUAAAGGCAAGGCGGAGAAUUGUUGUAUAUGUUGUAAAACCUCAUCGUUAGGAGAAGUCUUAAAAUUUUGGUGUUGUUAUGCCUCAUGUCGUGCAUGAGGCACAUAAAUGUACUACUCAAUAGCCCUAUCGCUACUUUCCUGUGUGUGAGGUGCAUGCAUGCGUUCGGUAUCAAAAGGGGGAAUUCUUAUGAGACCAAAAUGUUAAUAAUUGAAUCAUUUUGGGUUAUACUAUAGGGUUGGGAAACAAUAUUAACACCUUGGUGACUGAAAUCAUUGAGUCUCUUGAUCAAGAGAAGAUAUUAGAAAAAAAAUGUAGAAAUGAAGGUCUAUUCUUGGAGGCUAAUUUCUUCCAAUCCUUGUAUCCCUUUGUAAGAAACUCUUUGUUAGUAGAUUCAAGAUUUACACUCUAAGUAGAUCAAAUUUGAAUUGAACUGGAUAAAUAUAUAUUGAUGUAUUCUUCUCCUUUUUUUCUUUAUUGUCUAUGUUUGUUUAAUCACUAUGAUAAUUGGUUCUUGCUAAUUUUGCUUCACAAAUCAAAGUAUCGGUGUGAGUUUGUCCAAAUUCACGACAUGUACAUCUAGAAAUACACUUUGAACAAAGUAUAUAGUCAUAAAGCAUACUUUCAAAAGCAAAAGAUCUUUUUAGUGAAAUGAAAAGUAAUUACCCUUCCAACCUACCUCCAUAAGUCUAUGAACGACCCUAUUGUGUUUCGAUGGUUGCCCAUUAGACACUUUAAUUUCGCUCCCAGUCAAUUUUUUUUUAAUGUAAAGUCUGAUAUGGUAACUUUCGAUUAACUUUUUUCAGGAUGACGAGUAAAUUUGAGGCGCCUAAAGAGAGCGUACACAAAACCCAUUUGUUUAAUUUUUUUAUUUUGGAUAAAUACACAAUAGCACAAAGCCCACUUUGAGUAACCUAAAACACACCCCACUCAUUACUCUCAUCUAACGGCUCUACAUAUUCCGUUUACAAAAAACCAACGGCAGAAAGGCUCUCACAAACGACGUAACGUGUGUUCUAUGGAUGGUUCAAGUAAGGAUAAACAAGAGCCGCCAGAUAUAAAAUUUACGGGCAGAAUUCAUCACAGUGUAGCAGAAGAUGUAUAAAAACAUGUCUUCACAGAAAAACAGAGCAUUUCAUUUCAUUCUAUCACAAGAACAAAAGAGAACGACGAAGAACAACAACAGCAACAAAUUUUCUAUGUCCUUUCACCAUUCUCUUUGCCAAACCAAACAUCAUCGUUUAAGAUCUUAAUUUUCAUUACUGAAUGGUUAACGCUAAGGAUCUACUAAUUUCUUUAACAUAAUUAAGGUUUCUAAAAUCUAAAUUAUAAUUAUAAGACGCUUCAAUUUCUAACUGUUUCUUCUUUAACCAGAAUAUCUAAUUUCAUUUUGUUUUUGGUUUAUUUUCUAUGUUUGCAGGUAUUCAAUUGUUAAUUGUUAAUCAUCAAGUUAAUUCUGUUCAGAAGAGUGCAUUUUUUGGUUCAUUUUGUUGUAUUUUGAAGGUGUUCAAAUUUUCAGUUUCAAAGCUUUUGAUUCUGUUUCAUUCUUCUAUUCUCUGUUUGAAUUCUAUGCUAAAGUUUUUCUGCUUUUUUGUGUAUAUGCAGAUAAGCACUUAUAUGCAGAAAUUCGAAAUUCUGGAUUCUCUGAUGAAAAAGUUGUAGAUCGAAGCUUUGAAAUGUCAUUGUUAGUUAGAUUUUAGGUAUGGAUUUGUAUUUUCUGAAAAUAAAAUAAUUUUGAAGCUGACGGUUUUGAAUUUUGAUGAAAUCGAAUUAAUUUAGAAAGUAUAAAUAUCAAAUUUGGAAGUGAAGAGUUGAUUUUCAUUGAAAUCAAGUUUUUGACAUUUUAUUAAUUUUAAUUUUUUUUCAGUGAAUACGAUCGAUAGUUCUGAAGAAGUUCUGGAUUUCUAUCUUCAUCUUCAUCAUCUUGGCAGGGACUUGAAAGAAAAUCUCAUUUUCUUCUGGUUGGUGAUGUGCCAGAAGAAUUUGAUUAUUCACUAAUUGUAAGUUUUUUCGUUAAUUAUUGCAUUAAUUUUCAUGGUUUAUUGCUUUUUAUUUUAUUUUAUUUUCAUCCUUGCUCUUGCAAAUGAUUUUGAUGUUCUUACUAUUUUUUCUGAAAAAAUAAUAUAAGUAUUGUAGAUUUAAGUCAACUUUGAAACUACACUUUCGGCGUAGAGUAUGCUUUGUACUUUGUGUAGUUCUCUCUUUAUUUCUGUUUAUACAAUUUUUACUUUUUAUGUUAUGUUCUGUUUCUUCUUCUUCUUCUUCUUCUUCCUUCUCCUCUUUGUGUUCUUCCAUGUGUUUAAUAUUUUUGAAUUGGUUUAAGAGCAAAAUCGGUGAAACAAUCUUAAUCCUUUUCUAUGUGCAAAUUGAACUGAAUCUCUUCUAAUUUGGUAAAAUAUUUUCAUAAUUUUUUUUUGUCAGAAAAAUAUUUUCAUAAUUUGAAGUGAGGUACCCCUCAUAAUUUUCACCAUCCAUUUUUUUGUCUUCGUAUCAAGAUGCUCCCUUUGCACUAUUCCCAUGGCUAUCAUUUUUAUUUCUUCUCGAAAACAGUGGACCAAAGUAUGCAACUUGUUUUAUUUAAUUUAAUAAUAAUGGAGUAUAUUUUUUUUCUAAUAAAAAACUUAGGUGAAUUUGAUUUCAAAGUUCAUUAGGGUUUGAGUAAGCUCCAAAGCUCAGAGAAACGUUUUAAAAAAUAAUUGUAGAUCAAUCACUAAAGAGAUAAUUAUGUUGACAAGGGAAGUUGAAUCUAUCGAGAGCAGAACCCACCCAUGUUCUUGCGGGAUAUGGAUUCAACUCCUUACCAACCUUCAUUGGCACAACACGAUGAUAUAUAGAUAGAUAAUAGAUGCAUAAUGUGUUAUAAAUAUUAUAAACAAAUUAUAUAGUAUUUUAUAAUGAUAACGACCCUGACCUAAUUGUAGUCUUGCAAAAAACACAGCAAAUUCUAAUUUCAAGUUUAUUUGAAACAUGAAUAUGUAAUAAAUUUAUGGUGUUAGAUAUUCUCUCUCUUUUUUUUGUUUUGUUUUGUUACAAAUGAUGUUAGAUAUUCUACUAGUAAUAAUUUUGUCCAAAUAAAAAUAUUUUACUAAUAAUGUUCUACUUGCAAACUCCUAUUUUACUAAUUGAUGAUAUAAUGAUGUCAGGGAGGAGGGAGUGAUGGAUAAGGAAUCACAUAACAACCAUGACAGCAGCAACAACAUUGCUAGCUUAAGAGAUGAUAAUAGAGACAAAAAUGAAGGAGGGGAUGGGUCUAGUUCCUUGUUAUUGAGGGCUAGCUCAGAUGGAUUCAGACAAUCAUCCACGUCAGAUUUGGUGUUACAAUGGGGGAACAGGAAGCGAUUAAGGUGCAUGAAGGUACAAGUUAAACAAGAUUCUUUAAACCCGGUUCAAAGGACAACGGUUCGAGUGGACCGGAGGGUUAUUAGAACCGAGAAAGAUACUUCAAACCGGUUUGGAACAUCCCACACUGAUAAUAACAUUGUGAAUGGUCAUAGUCAUAAUAAUCAAAAUCAGAGUAACGGGUAUCCUAGUCUUCGUCAACGUGCCCCUUCUCCACAGCAACCUCCUCCAAGGAUUCUCAGGUACUUGUCAUUUGUUUAUCUUUUCCACUUUUGACUUGCUUACAUUAAUAUUUCUUAAAAUCAUGCAAUUUUUGUUGUGAAAAAAAUGUGAUUGUGAUGUGAGUUGUGACAUGAAGGUUUUCGUGUGAUUUUUUUUGCUAUUGUUAUUAAGUGCGUGUUUGGAUUUGCGGUGAGUUUGAGAGAAUCACGACGUUUCAUCGUGAAUUCAGUAAUUCUAUCUUGAUUUCAAGUUAACAUUGCACCAAGUGGUGAUUGAUUUGAGUGUGGAAAAAAACUCGAUUGGGAUUUGAUAUGUAGCAUUUGAUUUUUUAUCAACGUUUUGGUGAUUGCUGCGCGAUUGUGGUCGAGGUGUGACAUCAAUUAGGGUUUUAAGAAAUUAUCGACUAUUCGAGACAUCAAUUUUUCAUGUUUUUGCAAUUGAAGAUCGAUUGUGAUUAAAAUUGCAUUUAAUCGUGAUUCAAUGUAAUAUUAGGAUCGUGGUCAUAAUGAGAUUGCAAUUUUAAUUAUUUUCAGCAAGAGCUUAAGAUAAUUGUGAAUAGUAUAGAUUAAAUUAGGUGAAAUGAAAGUAAACAUGAUCAAACAAAUGCCUUGGUUACAAAAUUGUUAUAUGCCAAUUUCUUUGAUUGAGAAAGAUGUACCACACUACCACCUUUACACACUAGCAAGCUAUAAGCAUAGCUCUUGCUCGGACUAUGGAAGGAAGACUCGGGAUACUUUCCCUCCAGCUCUGGGUAGCUCCCUUUUGGUCAAUGACGCUGGUGUUCAACACUCAAGAGUCUAAUUUUCCCCCCUUUUCGACUUCGUUUUUUCCUUUCAAGUUGGGGAGGUAAUUCACUUCAAAUAUUGGUGAGUCAUUUGAUCUGGGUUUGUAGAUCAAUAUUGGAUAAAUCAAAUAUUGGAUCAAUAUUGGAUAAAUCUAUAUUAUGACUUUCGUAAAUCAAGUUCAAAAUACAAAGUUGAUAUGUGAUAUGUCUCGUCUCUGUCAAAUCCAAGGAUUUAUCAAGUGGUUGUAUGGAUACAUGUGAUCCAAGUCCUCCUUCAAUAUAGAUCCUCUUCCGUCGUCUAGGCAAACCUCAGUUGUUUGCUGAACGACCAUAGAGGUUUGGGACCUAUUGUAAAGAUAGAGUUUAAUCUCCGAGAAAUGAUAAGUAUAGUUUUAAUCUUCAAUAACGUUGCUGAUGGUUUGUGUAUUUUGGGUUGUUCUCCUGAAAACCUUUAGGUUAUGGAUCAGUCCCAUCCUUUCAUUAAGGAGUGACCAUCCGUUGAUGGUUUACGAUGUAGUUUUGUGUAGUUUCGUUUUGGGUUUUGGCCCCCUUCUUAACCAUAACAUGGUAACCAAAACUCUAAUAUGCGCCAAAUUGAUUACUUUUAGGAUAACUUUAUGUUAUUUGUUAACAGUUGCUAUUCUGUACUGUGGGGGAGUUGAACUGAGGAUCUCUUUAUACUCCAAUUCAUAUGUUCCUCCCCAAAUCAGAUAAACAAAAUAGAUCUCUUUAUUACUUUUAGAAUAAUUUUGGUCCUUUAUUUCCGUUUAUUGCAUGGUUAAUGGCAUCGUAUCUAGUCAAACAGUAUCCGAUAAUCUUGUAGGAACUUGUUGGUAGAAUUUGUGUGGAAGUAAUAGAUUCAUGUCUGCCACGGAUUUCCUGAGGAGGGUUGAAGUAAAUAAAACAAAUUGAAUCUUCAGCUUAAAAAAGAAAAUGUCACUACUACUGUGAAUGAGUAUAAAUAAUUGGUCGGUGAUUGCUGGCGAGCCAAUUAGAUAUCGUUGUCUAUAUAAAGUGGCAUUGACGAUAUUUUGCUGCAUUUGGGCUAUGAAUAAUACAUACACUUAUAUUAUUAUGACCAUAAAGCCUUAUUUUUUGUCCACUCACCAAUUGGUAGGUCCUCACAAACGAUCUCAUCCGAAUUAAACGACCAGCUCACGGUGAGUGCGUGAGAUUCCCAUAUCUUUACUUUCCUCGAAAUUAAUCUAUUUUGCCAAGGUAUCAUUUAUUUUUUUAUAUAUGAACCGGAUUGUGCAAACAUCUAUAGAGACUAAUUCUUCGAGCCGGAUAGUUUUAAGGUAUUGUUAUUAUGACUAAGCUAGGACUAACCCGAAUUUUUUGUUAUUUCAUAAGAGUAGUUGAUAUAUUCAUUAUGUAUGCCAUCUUCUAGUAGUGCUGUGUUUUGUGUCUGCAAAUUGACAUUGAUUAUGAUGAAAUUGAUAGUUAUAUGAUAUGAUACACUUCUAGAUUUGGUUGAUAUGAUAUUAUAUGAUAAUGAUCAUAGAGGUUUAUGUAAAUCGUUGGGUUAUCUUGAAGAUCAUGUUCAUAACUAACUGCUUUACACUUUGUGGAUCUAGAUCUGAAACACCGUAAAGUAUCAAACCAACCCCUCAAUUUUUGCUUUUGUUUUGUUUCGUGUUUUUGGUACUACCCUCAAUUUGUUUAUUUAUUUAUUUAUUCUCUUAAACAUAAACAUAAAUAUCAUCAUGAGGAUGUUGAUAAUACCAGACUUUGUCGGGACAUGAAACGGAGGGUCUUCCUCCACGUGUUAAUCUGAAGUCAUUUUCUAUAACAAAACCCAUUUACAACCGUUGGAUGAUAUACCAGGUGUUAGAUCUGGUACGUCCUAUUCUUCAUUCCAACACGUAGUAAUAAAUAAAGUAAUAUUUCAUCUUUUCUUCAAUAGCCCAUAAUCAAUCCAGAUCCAACGGCCCUAAACGUUUCGUGGAACCAGCUGUGUCCGUUAUGAAUCACCUUCACUUUACAUAACCUUAACGUUGUGUCUCUCCAACAUCUCUCUAUCUACCUAAAACCUUUUCAUCUAAGUUAAAAUAACGUUAAAGACACAAACACCGAACAAUCCAAAAACCACCUUAUAAUCUACAAAACACACAAAACCUGUUUAUGUUCCAACUUCUCCAACGCUGAUAUUUAAUUUCAGAUUGACCCUUAUUAAGGUCAAUUUCGUAAAUCCACUUCUCCCAAUUUUACUUAUUUAUUUAUUUAUUCAAACAAACAAAUAUUCUCUAUUUUUAUUUCCUAAUGCAUAUUUAAUUUGUUUUCUAUAUUUAUCAUGUCAUGUUUCAUAUUCAUAGAUUAAUAAUUAGAAACAUAUCAUAUCAUAGAAUAAAUCAUAACUUUUAUUUCCUUUCUUGUAUUUGAUGUUUAGGAACACAGAAGGUUCAGGUGCUAUGAGAGGAACACAAACCAACGGACCAGAGAGGGGUGGGCAUGAAAAAAGAGGGACCCACACCCAUCACAAUGAACACAAUAACAACAAUAACAAAUCUGCAGCUUCAUCUGAUAACGCUUUGGAUGGGAAGAAAGGUGGAGGGUCAUCUUCUGGUAGUGGUGAUGCUACCCCUGCGGUGUGGCCACCAAAGUUUGUGAUUGCCUUGACUAACAAGGAGAAAGAAGAAGAUUUUAUGGCUAUUAAGGGUUCUAAGCUGCCUCAAAGACCUAAGAAGAGAGCCAAAUUGAUACAACGUACCCUCAAUGUAAGCUUUACUUUCCCUUAAUUCUUUGUUUUGCUUUAUUUUCUUCAAUUUAAUUUACUUUAUUUAACUGUUUAUCUUAUUGAUGAAGCUUUUAUUUAGUAGAUUGGAAAAGUUUAUGCAUUAGAGAAUUAAUCCUAAUUGUUGGGAACAAAUUUUAUUAGAGGUGUUCGUCACGUGAUCUUAGCGUACAAAGUGUAAGAAAAGUUUUUUUUUGUUAAAUGUGAUAAACAAGGAUGGUAUAAUUUUGUGUGAUCUUAGCUUAGAAAUUGAAUGAAAAACUUCAAGUAAACUCCUUCCAUAAUAAAUUAUAAGCAAAAUGUGAUAAAACUACAUUUUCAAUACCAAGGAGAAAUUAUUAUUAAUAAUAGUGACAUUAGCACCUCUUGAACAAAUUAUACAUCAAAUUAUUUUAGUAUAAUCUCAAAGGGUUAUAGAGAUGGUUAGACAUAGAAUUUACAUUAUUUGUAAAUUAGUUUGUAAAUAGUUUUUAUUUUUGUUGAUAGGCUUUACAAAAAUUUAAUUAUGUACCCUUUCUUAAAAUUGAUAGUUAUCCUUGGUCUUUGUUUGUGCCUCACAUAAUUUAAAUAUUUAAUUAUAAAAAAGAUUGUGAUUUUUAGUGGGCAUCCUCUUUUAUUUUUCCUUUGAACCCUAUAUGCCUGGAAAAGCCAUACGUAAAUAGAGGUUGGCUGCUUAUGGAUUGCUAUACACGCGUCAACGGGACCAUGGUUCACAUUAAGUACUGCAGUAGGUCUUAAAAAAUAAAAAAUAAAAAAAAUAUCCAAUUUGAUUCUUCACAAUUUCUUUACAACCUAGACCUAAUUUGAUUCAUGAAGAAAAAAUAAAUAACUAUAUUAGUUUUUCGCCCUUUUCAUAAUGGUUCCAAUUCAGUCCCGGACUCGUCUGUGUGUCCGAGACGGAAUGGAGCCGCAAAAAAAAUCAUAACGUAUCUAAUUUCACUGCCGGUUUGAAGACUUUGAAGGAUAAUACUAAUGAGUAUAUUUGAUGGGUUUUUCGACUCAAAUCAUCUAAACUUUUUUUUUUUUUUUUCAUUAAAAAAUCAAAAUAAAAAUUCAAUAUGUCCAAAUGCAAGUUGCACGCCGAUGGUAGAGGAACGCUAUCUGAUUGCUUCGUUAGUAUUGGUGAUGGAUCUAUCUAGGGGCAUAAAAUAAAAAGUAUAAAGUUGAAAAUAUUCUGAAUUUUUUUGUUGCAAAUUGUUAUUUUGCUCGUCAUAAAGAAAAAGAUAAAUAUUUUGAAUAGAGAAAGAAGAAAAGAAGCACUUGAUUAGGCCCCACAUCCACGUCAAUUACUUAAUAUCUGGACUUGGUCUUUACGCAUGUAAUUGCAUUUUUUCCUCUUUUAUGGGUUUUUUGUUUUGACUAAUCCUCUUUCGUGGUUCUACAUACUACCUUUGAUAGAUAAUAGAUUAUAUAUUUUUAGUCUAUAAAUUUUGUUUGUUUUUAAAUAUUGUGUAUUAUACCAACUUUCUAUUUUGUUAGUUUUAUUUGCGUGUUUAAUAUUCAGGGUAAAACUUGUUUGUAUUGUAGUUAGUUCUUGUAAUAUGUGUUACAUUAAUUUUAGUUAUAUGGUCUAUUUCGAGGGACUAACUAAAAAUUAAAAGUUCGACAAUUACAAGAAUAAUUAUAAUUGUAUAUUUUUAGUAAAAAACCUAAUAACAGUAUAUUUGUAAAUAAUAAAAGCCAAGUGUUACAGCAACUAAAGACGAAAUUAAGGUACUAGUCAUUUUUUAUUUUAAUUAAAAUUUUGUCGUGCUCUGAAGCAGUUUGUGGUCUAGGCAUGUGUCCAGUUUUAUAUUGUGACACUGGAAAUUGGACGUUGUGUUGGAAACCUGGAUGGAGCAAGCUGGAUAGUGGAUAUCAUUAAUUUGUUAAUUUUAUUAUUAUUAAUAAAAAUACCAUACACUAUACUAAAAAAUAAAUAAAAAUACCAUAUACUAACCAACAACUUGAAAUGUGAUGAGUUGUCUUUCCUUCUUUAAAUGGUUGUUGUUUUGAAGCAUAUUCAUAGAAAAAUAUUAAUUGUUUGUCCUCGUUUAAUUGUUUGUUCUUUACUACCUCUUCAAUUCAUCUUCCUAUUUUUAUUUAUGUGUAUUGUUGCAUAUUGUGAUUAAUUUAUUUUGCUUUGUAUUGCAGCUUGUAAGUCCAGGUACAUGGCUAUCCGAUCUUACCUUGGAACGAUAUGAAGUUAGGGAGAAGAAAAUAACCAAAAAGGUAUUGAUCAAUAAACAAACUUUUUUUCCUAAACUAAUUUUUUUUAUUUGUUGAAAUAUAAAUAGAGAAUAUUGUUAUUAUUUUUUGUUUCAUUUAUCAUAUUAUUUUAUAUAUCUUGGCUUGACCUAUAACCACUACACUAGUAAGUGUUUGUGAUUCUUUAGCACAUCGAUAAAGAAACCUAAUUUGGAAUUUUAUGCAGAGACCAAGAGGCUUAAAAGCAAUGGGUAACAUGGACUCAGACUCUGAAUAGAAGAUGCAAGGAAAUGAGGAAAUGGUAUAAUAGCAAAGGAAUAGACCAAAAAAACUCUUGCUUUAUGCUGUGGCUAUUGAUGUGAGAAAUGUUGGGUUAGUGUAAAGUAAAAUCGAAUAUAAAUUAACUUGGUUUUGAUCCUGUUUUUCUCACAGCCAUGUUCAUUUUUGUUCUCCAAAACGUCUAUGCAUAAUUGUGAAUGAUAAGGAACCAAUUUUCAGCUGAAGGAUAAGCUUCAAGCUUUGGAUGUCAAAUUUACAUCUCAAUAAAAUUGCUAGAAUGUUAAAAAUCGACUAUAAAAAUUCUUUGUCCAAAAGUAGAAGAUUCUUAAUGUUCACCGGUAAAAAUAAAAGAUUAUUCGUCGGUAACGGUUUUCUUAAAAGAUAAAGUAGAAUAAUUAGUUGAGAUUCUCUUUUUAAAAAUGACUAUUAGAUUUUAGAUAUAUAGUUUAAUUAUGUAAAUACGUAUAAUCAUAUAAUAAAUAAUAAAAUGAGAACUUGUACCAAAAAAAAAAAAAAUUAAUAAAAUGAGAACCUCUAACUCAAAAUUACUCUUUGCCAAGAUUUUUACUAGUGUUUAUUGUAUUUGACGGAUAGUGAUUUUUUUUUGGAAAGGUUAUUAGUGAGUUUAUGCUUUGUAGUAAAGUAAAAAUUUCAGCAUUGAAAACAUUGGUAUUUGUUGAUAUUGGUAUGUUAGAUAUUCAUGGUGUCUCGACUAUGAAAUGUUUUAUGUGGUAUUUGUCAUUUCUUCUGCACAUAAAAAAGUAUGGUUAACUUAGUAGAACUAAUAGAAUUGAUUAGACAUACCUUUAUUUAUUUUUUCUUCAUUCGAUUGCCAUUUUAUUUGUUGUAGAUUUACUGACAACUAUAAUUUACAAAGAAAAAGUAGGUAUUUGUACGAAAAAAAAAAGCAAUAGAGAUAUAAAGUUAAAAAUAAUGUGAGUAUGAGAGAUAAAAUUAUCAUAAAAUAGAUGUUAAAAUAUCAUUUUUUUUAACGAAAAUGUGCUUAUAAGAUUUUAUAAACUAGUAUGUGUUAAAUAUAAUAUAAUGAGAUAUGUUAAUCGAAAGUUGGGAGAUUAGUUAGAGUUGAUUGUCUUGGUAAGAAAAUGAACAACUUCUUCAUUCUCUUGCCUUCUAACACUCAACACUCGAGUUAUUGUAAAAAAAUUUAAAGAGUUAUUUAGACAGUUGACGCCAUUUUCUUGAACUCUAGCUUACCUUGACAAAUCACCACAAAAAAUUCUUAACUUUCGGAAGUGUUUUAAUGUUGCAAAUCAUAUCUUUUGGCCUAUGGUUUGAAAAAAAGAAGCGUCUAUUAACUCAGGCAUAAAGGCAAUAAGUACUCUCACCGAAUAAACAUUCAUUUCUUAACACGCAUCUCAGAUUAAAAGUGCAGUAUUGUGGAUUUUGGUAGCACUAUCCGAAUCAAAAAUAGAGUUGAUGAGAAGGAUGUUCCAAGACUUACCAAUGAGAAAGGCCGGUUGAUUGUCCGAAAUGCAUCUAUUCAAGGUGUUCAUACCUCUAGUCUUAGAACCACUACACAUAUGUCACCUACCCAACCAGCCUAACCAAGCAAGUUACAACAGUCGCGCCCAUACUUACACCGACCUUGCCAAACCAUACUUCUCGAAAAACGCCAUAACCCGAACCUUCUUCACAUACAACACCCUUCACAUACAACACCCCCACCUCUACCUACAUUAACCUUUCCAAACCCUACCUUACCAAAAUGGCCAGAACUUGAACCACUUCCCCACUCAUUACGUGAGCAAGCAUGGACUAGUUCUCAAUCUAUUAAUGCAAAUGAUUCUCUUUCGACACCCUUUGUUGAGACUAGUUCCACAACCACUUAAGGAUAGGUUGGAAGCAACCAAGUAUCGUUUGCCACCUUCUACAAAACCAACAUCCGUCACACAUAUGCUAUCCAAGAUAGCAAAUGGAAGCAAGCUAUAUCUGAUGAAUAAUUUCCUUCAUCAACAAUGGUACGUGAUUCCAUGUUCCUCCUCAACCAUGUUUUAAUGUCAUUGGAAAUAAGUGGAAUUUUCGUCUGAUGAUGAACCUAAAUGUAUCCAUUUUCUGGUAUAAAGCAUGAUUAGUUGCAAAAGGUUUUCAUCAACAUCCUAGUAAAUAGUAAUGAUUAUAAGGAAUUCAGCCUUGUCAUCAAAGCUUCAAACAAUCAAAAUGGUACUGCAGAUAAAAUUGUCAAUCUCAAGAAUAUAGACAUCAAAAAUGCCUUUCUAAAUGGAACUCCAAAUGAAGAAGAUUACAUGGCGCAACCUCCUGGAUUAGUUCACUAAUCUCAGUAAUUAUGUUUGCAAGUUUCACUGGUCUAAUCAAGCCCCUCGUGCAAGGUACGUACAAAACAUUACAUUACUUUCAUCCUGAGUAUUGCACCAUUGGGUGCACCACUACAAAACUAUUAUGGUUGCAAAAACUCUUGCUUGAACUUGGCAUGCAACGCCCUCAACCACCAACAAUUUUACUGAUAACGUUGGCGGCAAUUAUAUUAUCAUAGAAUCUUAUUUACCACACAAGGAUGAAACACCUCACCAUUUACUACCACUUUGUUUGUGACCUUGUUGCAAAGACAGAAGUUUCUCAUGUUGAACCUUCCUCCGUCUUGCGAGGGCAUAAAGGAUCCAUACAUGUGUAUUAUCUGCACUUACAUGGUUGAUGUGUCUUCCAUAUAUAGUUUGCACUAUUUUAUACCUCAUAUGAUAAAUCAAAUGAAUAAACUUAACACUAUUUUAUACAAAGUACAUACACAAUGGCUAAUGUUAUUCUUAUUAGAUAUAGUUUUAAAAAUAAUAACAAUGGAAUUUAAAACAAAAUAGCAUACACUUGCCUAUUUCCAAUAAGUACCCACUUCAUCUCAAAUUAAAUGUCACAUUUGACUUAUGUGUUUUUCUUAAAGCCUCAAUCGGUACCGGGUUAAAUACUACAUUUGAGUUAUGUUUUUUCUAUCAAUUAGUAUAGUGGUUAGAAUUCACCUUUUUUAAGGUGAAUAAGUGGGACGUCCGGGAUUCAAACACCGACCCCUGCAUAUAAUAAUGCAUGUCCUUGCCAAUUGAGUUAUGUUCACGGGGACGUGUUGUGUGUUUUUUUCUUAAAAAAAUGAUUAAUUAAAGAGUAAUGAUAUAUGUACAACCAUUUGGGACAACUUAGAUGACAACUUUCAUUUUUUCUCUUCUCAUUGGUCCAAAACAAUAGAGAGAGAAAAAUGAAGAGAUAAAAUAAAAACAUAAUGUGAAUGUAAGAGAGAAAGUAGUCAAAAAGUUGUAAUAAAGUGGUUGUACACGUAUCUUUUCUCUUAAUUAAAUGGAUUUCAAUAGAAAAUUUAUUAUUCGCUGAAACAUUUUUACUAAUUUUAGCUAGUUGAGUAAGUAAAUGGAGUGCAAUUGAAUAAAUAACGAUAUAUGUGUAAAAUAACAAUAAUAAAUGAUGCAUUGAUAUUCAAAAUUAUAAGUAAAACUUCGCUUAAAAAUAUUAUAAGUAAAACUUUGCCUAAAAUUUCACAUAUUAAAAAAAAUAUAGUUGAUCACAUUUACUUUAUACAAUUUUAAUAAAAAAUUAAGUCCAUUGUCUAAAUUACCCUUCAUUACUACUAAAUUGUGCUAUUGGAAAUAUAAAAUUUACUGUGGAAUAAUUUAGAUAUAUUAUCAUUGAAUAUGAAAAAAGUUGUUAAAUUUUAAUCAAAAUUUAAUUAAAAAAAAUACAAGUUAUCUUUGAUUAUACCACUAUUACAUUACGAAGGGAAUUUUUAGUUAAAAAUGUUCUACAAAAUACAAAAAACAUUAAAAAAAAAAAUGGAGAUGACAUUUACCUCUAUUUUUAAAUGUAAAAUAAAAAUAAAAUGAAAUAACAAAACAUAAAAUUGAUCUAUAUUGAGAAAAAUCCAAAAUUUUCUUUUCCAAUUGCUCUUUCUAUUUUACUUGAAAUAUGAUUUGUUACAAAGACCAGUUCCAUAUUUUUCUGCAACUUUCAUCUCCUCUCACAUACCUACCUACUCUCAACCUUACUUUUUGAAAAAUAAAAAUAACAAAACCAACAUUACAAUAUACACCAUCUCUAUCUUAAGGAUAAUCCAAAAUUGAGUAAAUAAUCAAUUUCCCCUCUGAAAUUGUAAGUUUCAUCAAUUACCCCCUUGAAAUUUCACAACGUUUGUCAAUUUACCCCCUCCGUCAAAUUUUUCUGUUAGUGAACAUGACGUUUUGCAAAUACCCCCUGAAGUUUUGCACUUAUGUGCAAAAUGCCCCCAAACAUAAAAAUUUAUAUUAUUUUUUUCUUAAAAACAAACAAUUAAUAGUUAAAUAUUAAAACUAAUUAUUAAUUUUGGAAUUUGGGAAAACUACAUGCAUAUAUACAUCAAAAUNNNNNNNNNNNNNNNNNNNNNNNNNNNNNNNNNNNNNNNNNNNNNNNNNNNNNNNNNNNNNNNNNNNNNNNNNNNNNNNNNNNNNNNNNNNNNNNNNNNNNNNNNNNNNNNNNNNNNNNNNNNNNNNNNNNNNNNNNNNNNNNNNNNNNNNNNNNNNNNNNNNNNNNNNNNNNNNNNNNNNNNNNNNNNNNNNNNNNNNNNNNNNNNNNNNNNNNNNNNNNNNNNNNNNNNNNNNNNNNNNNNNNNNNNNNNNNNNNNNNNNNNNNNNNNNNNNNNNNNNNNNNNNNNNNNNNNNNNNNNNNNNNNNNNNNNNNNNNNNNNNNNNNNNNNNNNNNNNNNNNNNNNNNNNNNNNNNNNNNNNNNNNNNNNNNNNNNNNNNNNNNNNNNNNNNNNNNNNNNNNNNNNNNNNNNNNNNNNNNNNNNNNNNNNNNNNNNNNNNNNNNNNNNNNNNNNNNNNNNNNNNNNNNNNNNNNNNNNNNUAAUAGUGAAGCAAGUUUAGUUAAAUAAAAUUCAUAAAAAUAAAUAAAAAUUGUUAAAUAAAAAAAUUCGAUUGAAUUCAUAAAUACAUUUAUUAUUUUGGAGAUGAAAAUAAUUUGAAAUAUAUUUAAAUAUUUAAAAAUAAAUGUGUUAAGUAAUAAAAAUUAUAUAUAUAUGAUAUUAAAAAAAAAAUUAAACAAGCAUGUCCUUUUAUGUCCUUUUAUAUUUAUAGUCACUUCAACAGCUAAUUUUACCAAACACUUUUAAUUUUAAUCAGCUAACUUUUCAGCUAUAAGUUAUCAGCUAUCAGCCAUCAGCUAUAAGCUAGAUUUUCAGCUAUCAGCUAGCUUAUACCUAUUUUUUACCAAUCACACCCUAAAUGGUUUGAGCAAAUUGUUGAAGGAGUUGGAGGAGUUAAAAGAUUAAGAUGGUGAAGGAGAAAAUAUAAAUUUAAAUUUGAUUAUUAAUUUGUUUAUAAACCUCUAAAAAUAAUAAUUUUUCUAUUAGAAAUAACCAUUAUUGUCACUUUAAAAAUACACAUUUUUCCCUAUUUUGAUGUAUAUAUGUAUGUAGUUUUUCCAAACUCCAAAAUUAAUAGUUAUCUUUAAUAUUUAACUAUUAAUUGUUUGUUUUUAAGAAAAAAAUAAUAUAAAUUUUUAAGUUUGGGGGGACAUUUUGCACAUAAGUGCAAAAUUUCAGGGGGAUAUUUGCAAAACGUCAUGUUCAUUAACAGAAAAAUUUGACGGAGGGGCUAAAUUGACUAACGUUGUGAAAUUUCAUGGGGGUAAUUGAAGUUUUGUUAAUUUCAGGGGGGUAAUUGAUGAAACUUACAAUUUUAAAGGGGAAAUUGACUAUUUACUCAUCUAAAAUUUGUUUUUCCAGUUACCUCCUAACAUAACAAAUUAUACACUUUGCUUUAGUCUUCUCUCAUACCUCUACACUCUAUAAAACAAAGAGGAGUGUUAUUUGAACAAUCAAUUUAGUGACAACUUAUUUGACAAACAUAUUUUACAAAGAAAAAAGUGAUAUUGGCACGGAAACCAUAGCAAUAGAAAGAUAAAGUAAAAAAUAAUGUGAAUAUGAGAUAGAAAGUUGUUGCAAAAGUUGUAACUAAAUGGAUAUUAAAAUAUCAUUUCUCUAAAACAAAUCAAAACAAAAAUAGUCUAUGCAGUCCAUUAUUUUGUCGUAGUUUGACUAUUCAGUUUUGCUAUUUUAUAGUUUUAUCUCUUUGAAUUUAAUACAUUAAUUAAUUUAAUGUGAAAUAUAGGUAUAAGUAGAGCUCCAGAGCAACUCAUAUCCAAUCCAUCAUUCCCAUCACAUUUUUUCAUGGAUUAUACUUAGCACCAUUUUAAAUUUCUUUAUUUCAAGUAACCAACACAUUCCAACCUCAUUACUUCUACCAUUCACCAAAUCAAAAACUCCAUCAACUUACAAACCAAGCAAUAUACUAGCCUUCCUCAACACAAACCUGUGUCUAAUUUCUUUAUUUCAAGUUCAUCAACAAAUCAUGUGUAUCCUUGAUAAAAGUACAAAUAACUUAUUAAUUGUUGUUUAUAUUUAUGAAUAAUGAACAUUAGAACAAGUAUUUUAUUGUAGGAAUAACAUAUUUUUCUUCUUCUUAUUUUGUAAUGAAUGCCAUGGCAACAUGUAUAGGGUUUUUAUUUGCUACUCUUUCGUAUUUUGAAUUAUUCUGAGUACUCACCAAUGUCCCAAAAUUAUUUUGCCUUAAUCCGAUUUAUGCAGGAAAAUCGUGAGAUUAAGUGCUUUUUAUUGAUAUAUGUAUCGACUCACUUGAGUUUUUGUAGUGUCCACCGGUUUUUGGCUUCACAAAGAUAAAGUUGAUGGCUUGAAGCUAAUUGAUUUCACGAUGUUUUCUGUCUAAGGUAUUCUAUCUCUCAUGCAAAAUCAAUUAUAUGGGUACUUGUUUGAUGCAUAUGAAAAGCAAAAUAGAAUAACAAAAAUUAAAAAAUAAUUCAUUUUGAUUUUGCUAAAAAGUAGUUGUUUGAUGCAUAUGUUAUCAUUUUUUUCAAUUUUUUUUGUCUUUCUCUUUUUAAAUGAAAGAAAUUGAUAUGCCCAAUUAUAUGAGACUUCAUUUAGUUGAUAAAAAAUGGUACCAAUUGAAUAUAUAGAUAAAUAACCUCUGUUUAUUAUAGAUAAUAUGAUUCACGCAAUUAUACACUUGAACAUAAAAUAAAAGUAACACAAAAAUAUGACAAGAGACGGUUUCACCAAAUUUUUGAAAGCUUGGUUAUCUCCCUUCGGAACCAUUUAAUAACUUCUCUAAAACUAUACACAACCCUCUUUCCAUUUAUUGUUACAAAUAACCCACAUAAUUGGUAAAAAUCUAAAACAUUACUACCACAAACUAAUGUUUUGAAUCAAAACUGAUACAUAUUUAGGUAUGAGGUUGGUUAACUCUAUUAGGCAGUUACAUACAUUCGAGCUGAUAUCUUGUUUACAAGUAAAAGAGAGUGACCUUAGUAUUACUCUUUAAAAUAACCUCUAACAAUUGUGAUGUCAUAACAUGAUCCCUUAUUAUACCAUGAAUUAUUUAUAGCCAUCAAUUGGUUCUGAAAAUUGCUUUUGACACAUUUCAUUAGGGUGAGGCACACAAGUAAAAUACGAUUUUGUCCCCUCGGCAGGGCAGUUAACUGCCGAGGAAUUCAAAAACCGGCUGCAGUUAACUGCCGAGAAUUAUGUUUUAUUAGAUGAAACAGCCACCUGCUCCCCCUACACACUAUUUCAUCAUCAACUUCGAUACCACUUUCAUCCAAACCCCAAAUCAAAAAAAAAAUUCAUCAAAUCUUGCUCCAAAAUCAUUCAAGCAUCAAACAUAGGAGGUAUCAACACACUUUUGACGUAAAAAAAAAAUAGGUAUUGAGCAUUUUAAUCCGUUCAUUUUUUGGCUUUGUUAUGGGUUUUUACGUUAGUUUACGUAGAACUCUGUCAUGGAAAACCUCGGUAGUAAGGUACCAAGGAAUACUUGCAGAACGUCUCAAGAAACUCCCUUUCGAAAUUAAGCUUGAAGUCAAAGAGGGUUUGCGGCAAUUGACAUUUCCUGAAACCACCAUGAUGUCUCCACCACCACGAAAAGUACCAACCAAGGGAGCCAAGAAAAAAGUGAACAUUGGAGGUCUAAAGGAAAAAUUACAUCGACUAGUCGGAUCCCUUCUUCGUGGGAGGUUGUUGAUUCCCAAAAUCUGGAUAGUCAACCGUCACCAUCACCAACAACAUCAUCAUAUAUAAAAAAAAAAAAAAAAGUGCUCGUCUUGGUAAAACAUCACUUAGCCCAUUUCCACCAUCUUCUCGGUAUCUAAAGCUUAAGGCUAUCCCGGUUAUGAGGCCUAUUGAUUAUAUGCUACGCUUCAUGCUUCCAUUUAUUGAAAAAGUGGUGGAUGUUAUUGACGAUGGACAUUGUGGAUUCCGGGCUAUAGCUGAGUCCAUGGGCUUAACCGAACAAAAUCAUAUCAUGAUUCGUACACUUCUUAUUCAAGAGUUGAAAGAUCAUAGAGAUGAUUAUGUUGAAGUAUUUGCGGGUGAGGAUCGUUAUAACUACAUUUUAAAUGACUUACAUCCUCCCGCAAAUACAAAAAGUUGUGCACAUCUUGUUGAUAAGUGGUUGACUUUUUCGAACAUGGGACACAUUGUUGCUAAUUAUUACAAAAGGUGUGUGGUCGUGUUGACAAAUCUUGCAGAUGGAAACUCAGAAUCUUUUUUUCCACUAAGAGGGCCACCACCGUCGGGUAAGCAAAAUACUCCCAUCAUGUGCCUUGGGGCAAUUUCGAAUCAUUUCGUACUUAUUUAUUUGAAAAAUGGUUGUCCAUUACCUCCAUCAUCUACGGAGUGGCACAAUCACAAGAAAGAAGAUGUGGUGAUUUGGAAAGAUGAGUAUUUGGAUCAACAUGAGUUGUUCCGAAAGCUCAUGGCUAUUGAAAGUGGAAACAAACCGUCGAAACCACAAAAUGAGUCAAACAAAGCGGCGCCUAUUUUGUUGGAUACUCCCGAAAAACCAAAGCAACAAUUUGAAGUUAUUGCGGAAGAUGAGGAAGAUUCUAAUUCACUUGAUCUUCCCCAAUCACUUGGUCUUUGAUGAGUGAUUUUUUUUGUCGGUGUUAGUCCUUUUUUUUGGUAGAAAUUACACCAACGUAUAAUUUGGGGUCGAAAUUGUAACGCCGAUUUUUUGUGGCCAAUAUAUGAUUAACAUUAUGUAAUUUAUAUUGAUAUAUAUGAUAAUAUGACUUUUAUGUGGUGAAACUAGUGCAAUACUUAUUUAUUCGUUAUUAAUGUUUACGCAUUUGAUUUAUUCGUUAUUACAUUUCAUUUAAUUUUGUUCUAAUCUAUGAUUCUUUUCUUAAAGCUUUUGUCAAGUGAAACAUGUUCAAGGUUGCAAAAAUUGAAGACCGUGUUAGAUACUCCGCUUUUAAAAAGACAAUUAAGGUUAUGAUAACGCCGACGAACUCUCUUGAUGAUUUGCAAACACAACUUAACACUUAUUUUGAGCAUCUUGGUGAAAAUCAAUAUACACGUCACUUGUUUGGUCAAAUGUCAUGCAUAGACCUAGGAGAAGAUAAAGAUGAAUACGCAUGGAAAAUGGCAAGCUAUAUGCCUUGGCUUAUUAAAGACUAUAGCAACGUCGGAUUUAUGUUUCGGAAUAUGGUGAAAAAUAAUAUAUUAUAUAUGUAUGUUCGUUCCAUAUGCAAUUGUGAUGAAUGUAAGUAGGGAUUAUAUAAUGAUGUGUAAUGAGUUGUAAUGUGUUGUUUAAUUAUGGACACUUAAUUAUGGACAUUUUGUAACGUUCUGAUGAAUUUCAAACUUUUGUGUAAUUUGAACCAAAUGUCGGUUUGAUUUAAUUAUGGACAAUUGUAAAAGAUAUUGUAUUUUUCUUGUUUAUGACCGAGUUUCAAUGUUGUAUGAUUUAUAUUGCCUUUGGAAAUGCUUUGGUUUAAUUACAGGUAAAAACUGGCCGAAAAAUGGCUUGAAAAUGCUUUAGAAUUAUGCAGAACCUACUGUCUCCAUAAUUGUUUUCCUCGGCAGUUAACUGCAGCCGGUUUCGAAUUUAUAUUUAAACACCGGUUUCGAAUUGACAUUAGGAGCACAAGUCUUCCAUGAACACCGGGUGGCCUGAAUUUAUAUUUGAGUGAAUAUCAACGUGGAAGAAAAGUUCUAUUUUUAAAUAGGACAUGUAGAUGCCUUGUUAACGUGUGUUGCAAGUAUCUCUUUUUGUUUUUUAGUUUUGUUUAUGAUUUUUUAAUUGUGGCUUCUUCAUUUUAUUGUUUGUUUUUUAUUCAGCCAAGAUCUACCAUGCCUUAAAUUUCUUAUGCAUGAAUCAUCAGAAUACUGUUCGCGGUCGACUUAUUGAUUAUGGUGUAUUUGCUCAAGAGACUUUGUAAAGACAUGUAUGAUACAGCAGGAGUAUUCCAAAGUACAAGGAAGGAGAUUCGUCAGUCAUCCCAUUUGCAUUCGAUUUACGUAAACUGCAGGGGCCAAAUCAAACCUAAAGCUUAGUGUGUUCACACAGAUUUUGGAAUUUAUGUGCAAUCACCAUCAUUGUCAUCACCUUCUUAUUGUUCAAGUUUAGCAACAAUCCCCCAAUGCAAGAUCUAACAUCCUCUUUGAUUCAAUGUUCUUUGCUUUUGAAACAUGUUUUCAUUCAAUGUUUUUGCUUCUGAUCUUGUUUUUUUAAUUUAUGUGUUGAAAAUUAGGAUUGUCAUUGCUCUCUUGUUCAGGCAAGCAUGAAAUAUAAUAAGAACUUGUGCUUUAAUUGUCAUACAAUAUUAUCAAUAACCGACGCUAGCUACAAAUGAAUUCAAUUCAGUUUUUGCGGCAAUGCUACAUUUUAUGGGAGGCAGAACUGGUUUAUGAAUAUGAAUAUGCUGAUUGUCCUAAAGCCUUGAAUUGAAUCUCUAGCUAGGAGCUAGAAUUUUAGGAUCUCUACUGCACAAUUUAUACAAUUCAAUGUUGCUAUAAUCUUUGUUACUGGUGUGUAUUAAUUGCGCCGGUUUUGGCAGUUUUAAGCCGGUUCUACAGUUAUAAUCCCGGUUUUGCUAGACAUAUUUUGACUUAUUGGAACGGACAUAGGUCUGGUUCGACUAGUUGAACCAGAUGUUCAAGUUUUCUUAUUUUCAGAACUUUGAAAAUUUCAUAUCCAUAUUCAACUAAUAUUAAAUCGCUCUAGUCAUCUUAAAAAAGUAUUUACAAUAAAUAACUUUUUUAAAUGUGUAUUAUAAACCGGUUACUGGUCCAGUAUCCGAUCCAAUAAGCCAAUUCGAACCAAUUUGUAAAACACCGGAUGUAAGAAGACUUCUGGAUCAAGUCUUAAAUUUAGGUUUUCAUAGAUUACAUUCUUUUGAAUCAAGCAAAAUUUUCAGUCCUUAGCUCCAAACUCCAAUUUUUGCAAACUCUUCAACAAGCGCAUCCAUACCUCCACGUGAGGAACUUCCAUGUAUGCAUUGCAUGCCCUCAGAAUAUCACGAGCUCUGGUUAGGAAAUGUUCCACUGCAAAGUCCUCAAAAUUCUAAAACCAAAAAUAACACUUAAAAGAGAAUUUUAAACAGCAGAAACUUCAAGGAUUGAAAUGAAGUCUAACAUUAACAAUACUAAAAAGUUUACCAACAUGUUCCAGCGUCAUUUCAUGCAAGAAUCAGUCCAAACAGUGUAGAAAAAUUGAAAAUAGAGAAGGUAACAGCAAGAAAAUAGCAUAAGCAAUGUUUCAUUUUUGCUACUUUUGAGUGCUAAACUUGUGACAGAAAUCAUGAAAAUUAACCGAUGUUAUACUUAUCUCACACAGACAUAUGGAUACAUUCUAAGUAGUUUAAUAUUCAGUGUCUGUCUCAAACAGUAGCAGACACCACAACUGUUCUUGAACUUUCCAUUAUAAUUGUUUUAAGGAUCGUUGAAUGAUUCUAAAACAUAAAUGAAUUUAUCACAAACAAAGUAAACACUUCCUAUAAAUUUGUUUAUCGUUCUCGAUGACUCUAAAGCCAUGGAAAUUUUCAAGACAUCAACACAAAUAAAAAGAUACUUACACCAUUAUGCAUAAACUCAGUCUACACAGGUGUAGAAAAAUUGAAAACAGAGAAAGUAACGACAGUAAAACAGAGAAAGUUGUGCACAAAUACAGUUUAGUAUGAACACCACCUCCCCAUUCGAUAUGAGUUGUUGGACAGAUGGGGAUUUCUGCAUCCCCCCGGAUGCCUUCUACGUCUUGCAGAUGGGAAUAUUCUCUUAACCUUCAAUAAAAGGGAACAAUGACUAGCAAGGAAGGCACGAAGAAAACUGAAGAAAUUAAAAGUCUCCUUCUUCCUUUGGUACUCUCCUUGAGAAUAAUGACUUAAGUCUUUGAACUAAGUCUUCUUUUGUCUUUCUACUAGUUCUAAAGUUGUUAAUUUACAUUGUAUUUAAUCAAUUUCCCUGUAUUGUGUUUUUCAGUGAAUUAUACAUAGUUAUUUCAUCUAUUUGUUUUGUAUUUCACUGCAUUCAUCAACUAAAAGGGCUAAACCCUUCAAGUUCUCAAACUUUAGCGUUGACCCACGAGUUUACGUUUUUGGAAGUGAAUUUAGUGUUAACUCGAUGGUAAUUUCUUUUUGGGAAAUGUUAACGAUUGCCCCCGGGGUACUCUUUAAGGACUAUAUGUAGAAAGUAUUUAUAAAAAUACAUGUAAUCAAUGCAUUGGAAAUUGAAAUGUUUAACUUUUUUAAAGAAUAAUCGCUUGUUUUAGUAUGCUUAAAGAGUGCCCGAGGCACUCGUUAACAAGACCCUUUCUUUUUUUAGUGAAAUUGGACCUUACACUGAGUUUGAGUGAAAUUGAACUCACACGGGAGUGCAUCACUUAAACGAUUUAACCAAACAUGGUAUUUUGAAACAUUGUAGUAAGUAUCCUACAAUAUUGUUAGCUUGUAUUUUUGAGCAUGUGUUUCGACAGGCAAGGAGGAAGUUAAGACCACAUAAUUCUCUAAGUCCAAGAUAGAAGUGAGGAUUUCGAAUAGAUGGUUUCAACGAAGCCUUGAUUUCGAUUAAAAGGAUUCAAAUCCUCUAAAGAGGCAAGGCUGGAAAGUUCAAGACACGUGGGAGACAGACUAAAGCUGUCGAAAUAGUUUAGCUUCUAGUCGUUGGUCUAUUAGUUAUUUUUUCUUGUGUAUAUAUAGUAGUUUUUCAUAGAAAAAACGGGUCACAAAUCAUUUAGCAAAAGUUCUUCAAAACUCAGAUUACCCAACGUAGAGAGAAAUGAGUAACAGAUUGUAUGCAAUCAUGAUUUGUUGAACAAUUUACUUCAAGCAAUACAAUUUACUUUCUUUUAAGUUUCUUUGCCUUUAAAAUUCGAAGUCUUUUAGUCUUUUAAUCCUCAAGCACAUUGUUGAUUCAUGUCGAAAGACGGUUAUCUUCAUCACAAAACAGUUUUAUUCAUCUUGUUCAUAAACAAACUCAUGAAUAUGAUGAACUUUCAUAUAUUUUAUAGAAAAAAAUUGCACAACAUGUCCAAUGAUUUCUAGUUUGAUUUUCCAAGUAACAUUUUAAAACUAAUCUUAUUGUUUACCAAAAUCACCGAUAAACAGAUACAUAAAGCAAGUGUCAUGAUGCGAUAUAAUAACAUCAUUCACCGAUAUGUAUCCUACUCCGGAUCCCAAAACACCCACUUGUUGAAUAUGGCAAGAGUCUAAAACCUCCUGGUUAUCAUAAAGUUGCUUGCUUUUGAUAGAAUUAAGGAUGUUUCAUGUUAUAUAAUUUUGUUUAUGACUUGAGUUUUAAAGUAUUUAUCUUGAAGUUUAUUUAUAAUAUUUGGAGAAUUUUUGGAGUUUAUUUAUGAUUUUUAAAUCUUUUUUUAAUGUAUUUUAGAAUACACGAUUCAAAACAGUGGUCGGAUGAUACACAAUAUGUAUCCCGAUUUCAAUAUCAUAUUUUUAAAUGAAGAAACUCUAACUAAAGUUUUUCUUGGAUAGUUUUAUUAGCAACUUUUUUUUUUGGAUUGUUUGUUGGAUGUUUUAUGGUUUUGUAAGAUAAUUUUUUGUAUUUUUAUUUUGUUAUAGGUUUAUUUGUUAGAUUGGUCUAUGAUGUUUCAAUAUAAUAACAAACUGAUAGAUCAAUGAAAUCCUUUGAGAGGCGGAGGUAUUGUGGUGGUCAAGGGAGGUUGUGGUCCCCUCCCCAAGGGUAGAUCCAAGAUUAAUUUUUUGGUAUGGCUAAAACAAUAUUGUCAAAAAAAUUGCUCAAUAAAAUUAAAGACUACAUCGUUUCAUACAAAAUAACAGUUUAAAAAGUUUUAUGUGGGCAAGUUUUAUUAGCCCAUGUCUAUUUAUAACAUAAUAAUUGUUAAUUGGGGCAAAAAAAAUUGUUAAACUUCCUCUAACAUAUAGACAUUUUUCAUAUGUAAAUAUAAUUUAACACCUAGUCUUGCACUCCAUCCGUCCAUGGCGGUUCCUCUGAUUUUAUUUUUAAUUUAUAUUACUAGGACUAGGAUACUACUAUUAUAUACAUGUUUCACUAGGAUUAUCAAUGUGGUCUCUCAUCAUUAGCGGUUUCAAUUGGAGUUCUAUAUUGGUUCGAACUCUGAUUUUUCUGCUUAUUCAUCUUAAAAUGGUAAAUUCUUAUUCCCUACUCCCUCCGUUAUUCUGAUUUUAUUUUUAUUUUUUUGUGGCACAUACAUCAUUAAUUGAAUGAACCUAGAAAAUCAAUUUUACUUAUAAUUAAAAACGGAGAGAGUAAACUUUUUGACAAUAAAAAAAAUAAAAAAUUGAAGUCCUAUAUUGUAUGAUAUGAACACAGGGCUUUUGUCUUUUACGGCAAAGAAUGGAUGACUAUUCCAGUUGUUUUUUUGGUUACAAAUAGCCAUUAUCAGUUUAUAGAUUUCUUAAAAAAAAUAAAAAAUUUUGCAUUGAUAUAUUUAUAUUUAUUUGCACUAUUUUAUAUAUAUAUUUGUUUGACAAUAUUAAUGUUAAAUUUAACUUAAAUUUCUCAUAUAUGUAGUGCAUUUGAAAAUUUAUUUUUUCUUUAGGAAACUAUACCUUUUAAACUUGGUCCUCCCAAUGUUUAAUUUUUUGCUCCGCCCCUGCUUCUUUUUUAUUUUUAACAUGAUAUUUUAGAGAAUUUUACUAAACUAAUUCUUAUUUAUAAUAAUGCAUUUAAAUCUAUGAAUAACUAAUGUAAAUUCAUAAGUUUAAAUCCCUAAUAAUUUAAUUAAAAGUAUAAAGUUUAAUAUAAGAAUAAUAGUAAUGGGGUGUUUGUUUUAUAUUUAUUCUUAGAAUAACUUUCCUUAUAAUAUAAGGAUUAGAGUUUUAUCUUGGUGUAUUUAUUUUUUAACAAAAAAAAGUUUGGUUAAUCUCAUUUUCCUAAAAAAAAAAAGUUUGGUUAAUAUCAUAAUAUUCACGAUAACCUUUAUAAUAAGGAGUUAAUAGAUAGUUAUGAUAAAUUUAUUGACCCUUUUCUUUGGAACAAGUAACUGGCUAUGACUACGAACGAACAGAGAAGAGAGAGCUUUGAGGAUAAGGGAAGUAGAGAAUUUAUGUACACAAAUCAUUCAUAUAUAGGAUUCUCAAUCCUCACUCUAUUAAUACUGAUUGAAUCAAAUCUAAUUUCACAUGGACAUGGAUUGUACUGUCUUCAUCUCACACCAAAUGAGGUAAAUAUUAGAUUUCCAGAUAAAUAAAAAUGUUUUGUACAUUGACACACUCAAAAUACUUAAUACUACCAUGUAAUUGUUCAUGUUGAAUGAAUCGUCCUAUUAAUUUCUUCAUAGUUUUGAUUCAUUAGACAAAUGAUUAAUUGAUAAAACGAAACAACAUGAUAACAGCUUGUCACAAUGAUUGUAAUGUGAUGAACCGAAAAGCAAAGAACGUGAAUAACCGCCAAAUAUAACUAACUUAUUUGGUGUUCUGAAUAGUUUUGUAUCGGUGAUCACAAUAAAUAACAUAUUCGGUGGAUUUAUUCACCAAAAACAAAAUAUUCGGCGGAUUCCUAGAGAAUAAAUGGCAAGGUGUAGCCUCAAAUAAUAUCAUGCUCUAUCUAUUAGAGAAAUAUUGUUCCUGUAAUAUGGUCAUGAUAAAAAAAUAGACAAAAUAUGGCCAUGAUAGAUAUAUAGACAUGUUACUUUUAUAAAAAAAAUAAAAAAAAUAAAAUCAAAGAUGUAAAUAUAUUAUCAAUAUUGUUGCUUUGAUAAAAUAAAAUAAAAAAUUUGAUGCUGCCUUAGAUAGCCAUUGAGUUGCCUAUUUUCCGAGAAAUCAUUUGGUUGAGAGUUUCUCUCUUCAACCUUAAGAAACUCGGUUCGAAACCCGACACCGAGAGAUAGCCAUUGAGUUGUGGGCAUGUGAUGAAACGAAUUGAGGUUGAGUUACAAUACAAAGGCAAAUCAAAUAUCACUAUUUGCUCUGUUGGGCAUAGCAUAACAAAGUAGGAACAUGGUCCCCAUAUUUGAGUGGCUAGCUUAUCGUUUGGAAGCAAAAUGCCAAAGAUUUCAAAUUGUUAUACUCUAGAAACUUCAUAGAGAAGUAAUGGGGGUGAAUUUUAAUAAAGAAGCUACUUUUGCAAAAGUUGUAAUUCGAAUCACAAGAAAUGUUUGAACUUUUUUUUUUUAGGGAAGAAAUGUUCGAACUUUUAAAAUCAUCUUAUAAUAACAUUCUUUUUUGGUUGUACAACUCAACAAAGUGAUUCUCUUUUUUAGUGGUUAUGAAUGAUUGCUUGUUUAGGGGGUUAUUGAUUAAUAUUAAGACAACGAAGCGUGGAAUAAUUUUAUGAAUAUAUUCGUAUAGUAUGGCUUUCAUUCUUCCCUUGCUACUUACCAUACCACGGUGUAAUGAAGCUUCGGUUCACCUUUAGCUUAAAUAAUUCAUCAAUAUAAUCCAUAAAUUAUCAUUUUCUUUUCAAUUUAGUUUCUAUACUAUAUAAAAAAAAACUAUAUAAAUAUAUUAAAUAGUUCCUAAACUAUAUGAAAUUUCUCAAUUUAGUUCUUAAAGUAUAUAAAAAUUUGUGAAUUAUUGAUUAAUUGACACAUUUUAUAUACUUUGAGAAUUAUAUUGAUCAUAUUUGUAUAGUUUAUGGAUUAAAUUGUGAUGAGAUUGAUAGUUUAGGAUUUAAUCGAUGGUUAUACCUUUAGCUAGGUAUAUGACAAAACAAAAGCCAAUUCAUGGCGUCGGAGGAGAAUUCUUUAUCUUUUGUGUCGUUUCAAACUUAGGCUUACAUUGGAAGUGACACCAUGCCUGUCCUUGUUACCCCAUUCUUUACGGCUUACACCUUCCUUCCUAAGGAAUUUGAUAUUUUACCUUUGAUUGGAGAUAAGGUAAGGUUGUAGGAAGUGUAAAUAACCUCCUCAAACACGUAAGCUUAAUUCAUAAAUUUGACUUGUAAACUCAUUCAAAUAAGUAAGCUUAAUUUGUAGAGUUGGUUUGUAAACUCGUAAGAGUUUAUCUAAUAUUAAAAGAGGGAUGAAAUACAUCCCGAAAGCUUUUCGAUUGGAUAUUGCUUUGAUUCCAAAAAAAAAAAAACUGCUCCCACUUACCAAACAUGAUGUCAGCAGCAAUAAAUGCAUUUGUGUUUUAAACGGUCGGGACAGUUUCGUGAUUCGUUUUAUCGGGACAACCAACAUUUUUCAUAUUAAAAUAAUUUAUAUAAGAUAUGUAUGGAUGAUAUUAUAGCAAUAGCUCAACAUUUCAUCUACCCAAUAAAUCAUCAACAUUUUUAAACAUAUGCAUGUAUAUAUUAUAAAUUUUAAGAUAUAACAAAACAAUAGAGAUAAACACACUUCGAGAUAAACACACUUUAAAGUAUGAAGUCAACACCGUCAUACCAACCAAGUUGUUUUACUUAAAAGAGAGCUACAUGCGAGUUAACUCAUUUUUGUGAUAUAUAAUCGUAACUUCCCAAAAGUUUAAGAGUUAACUCAACAGUUUAACUACCGGAUAAGGUCUAAAUAAAAGGUUGGCAAUCAUUUCAGCUUAUAGGCAGACAUUGAAGAAUUAACAUAGAUUUUAAAUCUAAAAAGACCAAAAUGUAAAAUUUAGACAUCCCAAUUUGUAAGACAAUAUUAGUGUAUCGACCUAGCGUCCUAUUGCAGUGAGUUUUCCACCUUUACGGCAAAAUCACGAUAAUUUUCCAAUGUUCACCACAAUUUUCCACGUUCUAACAGAAGCUUGGUUUAGUUGCUUUGUACAAUCAAGGCAUGUGUGGACAUAUGAGUUUGGAGCCUCUAAGGUGCAACCAAAUAGAGAAGCUCGUCGACACACACAUGCCGUAAUUGAUAAGAUUUAUGUGAACGCGAGGAAUAAAUAGGUGCGCACACAAUUUACCAAAACAAAAUGUGAUAAGGCAAAAUUUCAAAGCAACUUUUAGAGGACAAUAGAGAAAGUGGCCACAUUCACUCGCUCAUUCAUUCAAUUCUCUUCCAAAAAAACGUAAAUCACAAGUUUCCUAUACUGCCAAAUAAAAGUUUGAUGUACGAAUGGCGUGGUCAUUUUAAAUUUUUUAAUAAGAGAAAUGUGGUGGUCCAUUAAGGUAAAUUAUUACUUAUUAUAACAAUAAUUGAAUAUUACUACUACCACACCAAAGCCAAAUAAAUAUGUUCACAUUGUGCAAAAAGCCAAAAACUAUUGGAUGUAAGACCCACUCUGCUUCACUAGCUCUGUUUCUUUGCUAAGACUGCGUUUACAAAUUCUCUGCUUAAAUUUGAAUUUUCUUUUUAUUUAAAUGAAACAUGAAUAUCAUUAACUACUCAGAAACGAAUACUCAAUUUUAAAUUUGAUUCAUGCGUUACAUAUUACAUACAAAUUAUUAUUUUCACUUGUUUGAAUGUUAAUACUGUUUAGUGAAUUUCAUCGUUACUCCUUCCUUAUUGUAAAAAAAUUUAUUCAGCUAAGUCAAUUACUUAUCUCCGUAAAUAACAAGUUUAUUAUAUUUAUAUUUGUGAUAAAAAUCAUCAUCACCAUUAUUAUAGUAGGUAAAACUACUUUGAAAUUAAGACGCAAGUUAACUGUUAGUUUGGUGAAAUACGAAGCUUCAACAGUUCGAUUUCGUUUCCACAAAGAGCUUAAUGGAAUCGAAUCAAGAUAAUCGAAAAUUUUCCAGAAAGCAACUUCUCAAGAUUAUCAACUCAAAUCACAAUUUCAACAAACAUUAAAGCGGCAUUCCGAAUCCACAACAGAAUAUAGAAAAAUGUUAUACAAAAAAGCAGAACAAAGCCAAAUAAAAAUAAUUAAACUUAAUUAAAAAGAAGAAGAAGCAUUAAUAUAGAAGAAAAUCCAUUAUUAUGUACCAGAAACAAUGGUAACAACGAUAAUACUCAUCAAAUGACAAAAAAAAAAGCAACAAGAUCGAUAUAUCAAUAUCCGAUACAAAAGUAAUAAACGAGAGAUAGAGUUUUAUAUACUAUAACACUAGUCUAGUCAAAUCUCAUCCUCUACUAAAAAUCCACACGAGCAAAAGUAAAUCCAUGCUCAUAAGAGUAUAAUACGCUCAGAUCCGGAGAGUAGAACCAGCAAGAGCAACGACCGCAGCAACAACUCCGGCAAUGAACGACGGAGAAACAGCGGUGGCUGGAGAGGUAGGACUUGGAGCAGGAGCCUCAGCAGCGGAGGCGAUGGAGAUGACGGCGAAGAAUACCGCCAUUGUUGCGAGAAGCAUGGUUUUGGUUGAAGCCAUUGAUGAAGGUUUUGAGAUUUGUGAUUUUACUUCGCUAGGGUUUUGUUAGGUUUUGAUUCGAAUGGAAAUGAAGAAGUGAAAGGGGAAAGAGGGGUUUAUAUAGGAGGAAAGAGAGGAAGUUACGGGCAGGUCGGGUAGCUGACCGAUAUACAGACUGGCGAAAGGUUGGUUGCCAGCUGGAUGAGAUUCUGUUGUGUCUCCUCAACAGAUUCAGAUUUCACAUGGCGAGUUUUUGUAAUAAUCGAAUCACGCGCGCCAAAUCGCGCGUAUGCUUCUCUCUUUCUCUCUCUCUCACACACAUGAGCUGUUUAUUAUUUUG
rnacentral:lncRNA from 1 species